UGAGCUUCGGCCUUGAUGUUUUCUGCUCCUCAAGCAGUUCAGUGGCAGAAACGUAUAGGGUGUGUACAACAUCAGGGGUUUAGCAAAUACAUUUUGGCAAGCGGAAUUGAGUGAAGACUGAAGAAGCCCGUUCAUGUGGGAAGUUUACCUCAAGCUUUUUACUAGUGGGUCUUGUGUAAGAUACAUAUUUCCGAAAUGCAUACUCUAUACUCUACGGUCAUUUUGUCGGUCGUUGAUUUGUUGUUUAGUUUAGACAUUGAGAAUGCAAGUGGCGAAGCAAGCUGUAAUCGAUUGAACGCUUUAUUUUGACUUGUUCAAUGCUUCAAAUAUAUUAUUUCACUUUUUGAGGACUUUUAUGGUCAUCUUUUGAUAAAUUUGUAGGCUCCAGCUAAGUUGCAGGUAUUGUUAGUAACAGCCAACUGAGCUGAACUGUUAGAUUUGAAGAUAGAAAUCCAACGGUGAAAAUAGAUUGUCAAAAUAAAAGUGCAACCGGAUGAAAAGGUUUUAUAAAAAGAAAUCAACUUGCUUCUUUUCCUCCUAUCUCUCUCUCCACACUACUUGUGGACUAUUUUUUGAUUUGCCACAGAAAUGAAGCAAAAAUUUGGAAUUAUGCACAAACUUUUCACACCCAAAAUUAUGUUUGAAAAAUUCCCACAGGAAAUUGUUAAGGUUAUUAAUGAUGAUGUCAAAAUUUCUGUCCCGAAAGAUUGUCCACUGUAAGCAUAAGUUUGUGUUGAAGAAUGAUUGUUUAUAAUGAAAUAAUUAUUUCAUACGUACAAGAGUUAAUAAUAAUUCCUAUACAUCAGUUUGCACUGCUGGUAUAACAAGUCACGUACAGGUUUCUCCUAGUCGAAACCUAGUGUCCGUUUUUCUCUUUCCCUCUCUUUGGUAUUAGAGCACCUCUUUUGUUCUUGUUUUAAAUAUUUUUUAUAUGAGUAGUUACAAGACAUACUUCAUUUGUUGCAUGAUAUUUUUCCACGAUUGCUAAUUUUGACCAAAAUCUUGACAGUUAUUAUAAAAAUCCUUUUACUGUAUUAGAAAAAAACGCUGAUAGUUGGAUAGACAACAACCCUUACUUAGAAAUUUUAGAAAGUGCUUUACAAAUUGUAGAAAACGAAUUAAAUAGAAUUAGUAUUGAACAAGUAUUUUUAGACACUUUAAUAGAAGAAAGAUUAGGCAGUUUAAAGCUCCCAGUAGAUUACACAUCUCCUUUACCACCUAAAAUAGAAAGAAAAAUAAAUAUUACACAUUACGCUUUCACAAAUUUACCAGUAUUUAAUUUUAGAAGAAAUAAUUUGUAAUAUUAUAAUAUAAAUAAAAAAAUAGAUUAUUAGACAAAUACGAGAAUUUAGCAUUAAAAAUUAGGAAUAAGUUAGAAGAUCUAGAAAAUUAGUUUAUGAAUUUUCAACGAUUAGAUUAUUUAGACUUAGAAAUUAGCCAUCAUAAACAGUAAAAAUUAAAUUUGACAGAAAGAAUAAAAAUUAGUUGUAAUAUCGAACACUUAGAAAACCAAUAUAAACAUAUUACACACACUAGUAAUAGUCAACAAAAUUUUAUAGUAUAUUUAUUAAUUAAUUUAGGACAACAACUAGAAGUCAAUAUAGAAAGGCUAAAAGAGUUAGUACUAGGACUAGGCAAAUUCUUCGAGACAAGUAAUAUAAAUACAUUAAGAAGAAAUUUAGAUUUCAUUAAAGAUUUACUAACAGAUUUUAAUAGUCAAGUUAAAAGAUUCCCUAGCAAGAAAGAAAUAGUAGAUUUAAUUCAAUUAUUAGACAUAAAAACACUUAAUCCCGUAGAAUUAGAAAUUAAACAAAUAGUAGAAAGUUUAAAAUUAGAGAUAGAAAAUAUUAAAUUUACACAAUGAGACUUACAAAUUCAAUUAGAUGCAAUAAAAAUAAUAGUUAGUGAAUGAGUUUAGAAAAAAUAUUAAUAGAAUCGUUAGCAGAAUUAAAAAGAGAAAUUUCACAUUUAAAUCCAGUAGGUUAUAGCUAUAGAGAAUUUAGUCGGGAGAGUAACAAUAUUCAACAAGCACAAGCUAGCACAAUAGUCAAAUUAUUAGUCAAAAUCAAUAAUAGACUAAAAGACUUAGACAAUAGGCUGAAUAGAUUAGAAAGUAAUUUUCAAACCGUUAGAAAAAACAAAGAAUCCGUAUCUCACCUAGAACUUAGCAGCAAUUUAGAUAACAUAGACAAAGAACUAAAAGCAUUAACAAACCAUGUACAAAAAUUAAAUUUAAGAGAACCAGUCUUAACACGUAGGACAAUAGACAUUAAAGAUAUUUUAGGACUAAAAGUAAUAUUAAAAAGUAAUGGAUCUAGUAAGAAACAGUAGAGUAGACGUAAACAUGACAGAAAGAAUUAGAAGGCCGCUUUCAUUUUCUAGCGAAGGUAAAGAAAUAAUAGAAAGAACAUAAGAUAUAAUUGACGAACAUGAUCCCGAUAAAUUAUUAGAAAAAGGUUUCGAGCAAAUUAAAAGGAAAAAAAAUUAUAUAAUGAAGGUUUAAAUUCAAAAUUAAAUAAUAGUUUAUAUAUUUACAUAGAUGAAACAAAAUUAUUAGCAGUAAAUAGAGAAGAAUUAACUUUAAUUAGUCCAGUAGGAAGAGAUUAUCUUAGAAAGCAGAAUUAUACAGACAUACACAUGGGAAUAAUAAUCAUAGGCAUACUCAGUCAAGCUAGAGAGGGACUAGACACAAAAGCACAUUUAUAUUUAUAUGAUAGUAGAUUUUAUGAUCACGAGCAAUCCCAAAUAGCUAGUGCAGAAGUAGAUUUAAAAAAUAAAGUAGCAGUAGUAGGAUGCAUACCCAAUAUAGAUAUAGACAUAAAUGAAUUUGGUAAACAUAUUAAAUUAAGUGUACAAACUAAAGGAUAUAAAAUGAAUGCAGAAUAUAAAAACCUUAGAAUUAAAACAUUUUUUUUAGGAAAAUUAUAUAAUAAAUAUCAUAAGAAAUUUAGAUUUGAAAGUAAAAUAUUGUAGAUUGUUUUAAAAGUCAGUACGUAGAAAUUAUAGUACCUAAAAAAUUAACCAGUAGCGAAUUAAAUGGUUUAGAAUGGAUAUUACCUAAAUUAGAGCAAGAUAGAAUGUUAGAAGUACCAGAGACUAGUUAUACUUAUAUGAAUAGACAAAAUCAAGUUACACAAAGAUUUAGUAAUUAUAGACAGAGAAGUAAUCUAGAAUUAUAAGAAAAUGAAGAAGAGAUAGAAAUUAAUAUGGCAAUAAUAGACAAUUUAGACAUAGAUAAACAAAAAACAUUAAUUAGUAAUAGAGAUAAAAUUAUAGACUUAAUAUUUAGUGAACCUAAAAAAUAUUUAGAUGAAGAAUUAUUUGAAGAACUAUGUAAUAAUGAUGAAUUAACGGACGAAGAUAUAGACAUAGAAUUAAUAAAAAAAUUUAGAUUUUAAAAAUUUAGAAAUAGAUGAAAUUUAUUACUUAGAACAUGCAGAUGAAAUAUUAGUAGGAGAAAAAGACGAAAAACCAGAAGUAGGAAAAAGUAGCCAUAAACCGGUAUUAGAACCUAUAGUAGAACCAUCCAAUGUAGAAACUUACUUAGACAAACGAGGAAUCCCAGAAACUAAUGAAAAAUACACAGAAGCCGAAAGAGUAUUUAAAACUAAAACAAAAUUAGAAAAUUGGAAAACUAUGCCACAAGCUAGAGAUUUAUUAGUACUAGAAUUAGAAGACCAUAAACCUAGUCAAUGGAAACAAGUAUUUAACCCGUGGAAAGGUAAUUUACUUAGACAUUCUAUGGAAGCAUUAGCAAUAAUAAUAGACCCAAAUUAUAAAUUAAUAUAUUUAGAAAGUACUUUAGGAGGUAGAGAAAGACAAAUAUAUUUAGGAUGGAGAGAAUGGAUGAAGAAAUUAGAAGAAUUAGACAAUUUUUAUACAAAUAUUACAGUAAUUAGUUUGAUUGAUUUAAUGAAACAAAUAGUACUAGGAGUAGAUGAAAAAGACGAUGUAAUUAAACAGAUUAAAGAUAUUAGAAAUUUAUAACAAUUAAAAAUUUGUGACUUAAGAUAUUUUGAUGAAUAUGCUAAUUAUUUUUAUAAAUAUUGGAGUGAAAGAGGUAGACCAUUUGACGAAGACUUAUUAUUAAAAUUCGUAGACAAAUUACCAGGCAAGAUAGGAGAAAAAUUACACAACGAAUUAAUUAAUUGGUUUAAAACUAAACAAACACAAGGAAUUAAUUAUUAUGCUAUAUGAUUACCAGCAAUAGAAUACGUUAGAGGUAAAAUUAGAGAAUAUUGUGAAGAAGAAAAACAUAGACACCAGUUAAAAUUACGAUUUAGAAAAAUGUGUAUAGAUAUGAUAGAAGUACCAACAUUAGGAUGUAAUUAUCCUAAUUACUCUAGACAUAAGAAAUAGAGAAAGCAUAGGAAGAAAUAUAGUCAAAAUAAGUCACCUUAUAGACAUAAUAGUAUAAAAUUUUAUAAAAAGAAAUUCUUUAAAUAUCAUAAUAAUAAACAAAAAGUCAAGAAGGCAUUCAAAAAAGGUAAACGUAUAUACAAAAGGAAUAAAACUUGUAAAUGUUAUUUAUGUGGAAAGGAAGGACACAUUAAACAAAAUUGCCUAGAAAACAAAAAAGUUAAUCAAUUAGAAUUAGAUAAUUAUAAUAUAGAAGAAGAAAUUCUUAAUAUAGAUCAAUUAUCCAAUAGCGACAGUAGAUGUAUAGUCAGUAAUAGUGAAUCUGACACUAGUAGUAAUUCAAGCUUAGAAUUAGAUCACACAUAGAACCAGAAAUAGACAUUAAUGUUCUAGAAACUUUUACUUCAUUCUUUGGUAAAAAUUCUACAAAUUGUAAUAAAAAAUUUGAAUUAGGAUAUAGAAACACAGACACAGGAAAAUUCUGUUGUAAUAGUUGUAAAGAUAAACAACCUAUAAAAGAUGAAACAAUAGAAAUAAAUAGAGUAGACAUCGAAUUAAUAAAUAGAGAUGUAGAAUUAUUGUUUAAAAAAGAAACUGUUUAUACUAAAGCACGCAUGCGCAAAUAAAUGUAUAAUACAUGAUAGCUUGGUACCCAAAGAAAAUAGAAACAAACUUAGAAACCCUGUAAACAUUAGACAAUUUAAAUGAGAAUUAAUGCAAAUUACAUAAUGUAUAAAUAACAUACCAAUAAGAAUAAAUGGUGAAACACAUGUUUUGCCACAAACAUUUAUUUCAAACCAAAAAGUAGGAUAUACAUUUAUUUUAGGAUUAAAUUUUAUAUUAGAAAAUAAUGGUAGUAUACUAAUAACUCCAAAUGGAGUAAAUUUCUUUAAAAAGUCAACAUUCAUUCAACCUAAAUACGAAACACAUAUCUUACCAUAUGAAAAGAAAACUUUAGUAGUAGAAAAAGAAUUAGACAUAGAAUUUUUUGAUUCUUUAUUAGAAGAAGAAAAAGAUGUAGCCAGCCGUAGUGGACUAGAAUUAAACAAUGAUGAAGUAGAAACCUUAGACGAUGAGGAAAUAGACAACUGUUUAGAAGACAUAUUAAAUGUAGAAAAAGAAGUAGAGUGUUUAAAAUGUCAAAAAUGGCCGGAAGAAAUUAGAAAAAAAGGUAGAAGAAUUAGAAAAGUUAGAAAUAAUAGGAAACAACCCAAUUAGAAAAGAUAAUAAAGAAAUAUAUAAAUUAGAAAUCAUUAAUCCAGAUAUAACAAUAAAAUCACAAGAUUUAGCUUAUAGUUUGGAAGAUAGAAAAGAGUUUAAAAUGCAUAUAGAUGAAUUAUUAGAAUUAAAAGUUAUUAGAAGUAGUACCAAUAGACAUAGGAGCCCUGCAUUUAUUGUAAAUAACCAUAGUGAACAAAAACGAGGAAAAAGUAGAAUGGUAAUAAACUAUAAAAGAUUAAAUGAUAAUACUUCAGACAAUAGUUAUAAAAUACCUAAUAAAGAUGAGCUAGUAAAUUGUAUACAGAAUGCUAAAUAUUUUUCUAAAUUUGAUUGUAAAAGUGGAUUUUGACAAAUAAGAGUCCACGAAGAAUUUGUUCAAUUGACAACUUUUAAUUGUUCAGAAGGACAUUUUGAGUGGUUAGUUAUACCGUUUGGACUUAAAAACGCUCCACAAGUAUUUCAAGUUAGAAUGGAUAGAAUAUUAAAACCUUAUUCAAAAUUUUGUAUAGUUUACAUAGAUGAUAUUUUAGUGUUUAACCAGAAUAAAUUUAUGCAUAUUACCCAUUUAAAUAAAAUUUUAGAUUGCUUUAAAAAUAAUAAUAUAGUUUUCUAAAAAGAAAAUAGAAUUAUUAAAACAAAAAAUAGAUUUUUUAGGAUUAACGAUAGACAGAGGAACAAUAGAAUUACAACCACACAUAGUCAGCAAAAUAUUAGAAUUUCCAGACAAAAUAGAAGAUACAAAAGAAUUACAAAAAAUUUUAGGACUAUUAAAUUAUAGUAGAAAAUUUAUACCAAAUCUCAUUACAUUAAUAAGACCCUUAUAUAAUAAAUUCAAUGAAAAUGGACAAAAAUAAUUUAAUAGUGAAGAUAUAAAAUUAAUUCAAAAACUUAAAGAAAUAGUUAAAAAUCUCAAACCCUUAGCAUUACCAAUAGACAGUUAUUAUAAAAUCAUACAGACAGAUGCCAGUAGUUUAGGAUGGGCAGGAAUAUUAAUACAAAAACCUAAUAAAGAUAGCUCUAAAGAUAAGGAAGAAAUAGCGAUGUAUACUAGCGGAAAAUUUACAGAAACAGAAGGUAGAAAAUCUAGCACAAAAUUAGAAAUUUUAUGAAUAAUAAAUUCUUUAAAUUCAUUUCAUUUGUAUAUACAAAAUGAUAAAUUUACAAUUAGAACUUAUUGCAAUAAUAUUAUAGAAUUCUAUAAAAAAGUACAAAAGAAAAACUUUGAAAAGAAAAAUUCUUUUAUUAGUAAGAGAUGGAUAUAUUUUUUAGAAGUAAUAACAGGUAAAUGAUACAAAGCAAAAUUUGAACAUAUAGUAGGUAAAGAUAAUACAUUAGCAAACAUUCUUUUACGACUAAUAAAUCAAUGAUUAUUUUGCAGGAAUGGAGCGAUAUAUGAAUUUCGGUCCAAUUAAGCUUAGACAAUUCCCAUCAGGAACAAAUUUAAGUUUUAAAAGUAAAUUUCAGUUAUUAGAUAGUCAACAAUGCAUAUUAGACAAUUUGUGGUGUGCUAAUAACCCACAAGAUAAACUAAAGUAGCCAAUGCACUCAUGCAUUAUUUUAGACAAAUUAAUGAACGCGUAAACAGUAAUUAUUUUGUAUUUUUCGUAUUAGUUAGCGGUAGACAACUAAGAAUUUAUAGUAAGUGGAGAGAGGUAGUUGAUUUGAAGAUCAAUUAUUCUGAUCCAUAUGCUAAAGGUUUUUACACAUUUCAUGAAGCCAUAGAAUAUGCUAGAUGUGAAAUAGGACCGAAUUAUCAUGUUAGUCAGUUGAUAAAUCCUUUAAACAAUGCAUCAGCAACUUCAUCUAGACAGUCAAAUAAUCCCUUAGACAGUGCAUCAAUAGCCUCAUCAUCAUCAUCAUCCAUACAAUUUUGUAAUCAUUGUGAAGUCAUGGCACGAACAAUUAAAAAGCUUAAUGAGACUAGAUAUCAUUGAGACAGUAUAUUAGAAGCAUGUAGACAAAAAAUACUUGCAUUAGAAAAUGGUAAAGAAGAAUUAAUUAGACAAAACAUUAUAUUACAAAAAAAAUAUCAAAUUAUGUUCGUAGACCAUCAAAAAACCCAAAGCACCCAUAAAACCCAAAAAAUGCUUACACCAAAACAGCCAUUAAAUAAAUUAUUCGACCAUACCCCAGCCGGACAAUUAAACAAAAUACAACAACUUUCAUUUUUCCUUGGUGAUGCAGUAGACACAAAUAAAAGAAAAAAUUAUAGAAAACCUGUGUACAUAUUUUAUUUCUUUUGCCAAUCAAUUGUUUGAUAGCCAGUUAAAUUUCUUACUUGAAUUUGGACCCAGCUGGUCAGAAUUAAACAACAUUACUGCACUUAGACAUAAUUUUCCUAUAAUUUCUUUUGAUUACUCCCUAGCCAAAACCAUAGACAAUGAAGACAUCUUGUACAAAGCCCUUAGCUUUGAAAUGAUACAAACCAUUUAUAUUUUUAGCCAAGAUAGGUUUAAAUUCUUUCCACCAACCUUAAAUAGAGCCUUAGCCACUAUAAGCGAAGCACCAUUAGUAAUCAAUUUUAAUUCUACACCACCUAGACCUCAAAUAAUUAAUAAAACCAAAACCGGUGUCAUAUUACCAGCCUACCAUGUCAUUUUUAUUUGCGAAGGAGCCAAGAAGUACAGACGAAGAUUUUAUCAAGACAUGCCCAAUUUCUCUGCAAAUGAUUUAUAUCGAAGAACUCAUGAAAUGACAGCCUUCUAUGAAUGGUUACAUACUCAUGACAGGAUCAUUGCUCAAGCAGAACACUACACAAUCAUCGCCCAAAAGCAUGUUGUCCAUGAGGAGUUACUCAUUCCUUCACUACAAAUCAAAGUUGAUAAUCUACAGAAACGUGAAGAAUACUUGGAGACGCUAGAUGAAAUAAAUGACAUGUCAUCAUCGGGACAUGAAUUUGAAGCUAUGAGUCAUCAAACUUUGGAUGAUGAUAUAGUUGAAGCCGUUGAUGAAAUGAUGGAGCGAUAGGAGACACCAUUAAAAACAAAGUAGUCAGCAGUAGCCAAAGUCAGUGUAAAGUUAAAAUAGCCAGAGUCACGUGAUUUUACAGAUAACCCUUACUCACUACCCGAUAAAGGAAAAACUGUAAAAACACCUUUUUCAUUUUUUCUUUUCUUACCGACAGUGAGUCAUCACUAAAAAUAGUAGCCAGUUACUAUUUGUAGACAGUGAGUCACUAUAAAAGUACUAGUUAGUCAAUUUGUACUUUUUAAAUUAAUCAUUGGCUUUUCGCCACAUGUAAAGAGUCAUUUUCUGCUUUUGUCUUUUGUAAUCAAUAUCAAUAAUAGUCCAAAAGUCUAGAGUUGUAUAUAAAAACUUUCAAGUCUAUGUAAAGGUAGAGUCGGAAAAAAGAGUCGUGAAUACGCUAACAAGCAAGCAUUCAACUUGUACUCAAAAUCAAUAUCAAUAAAAUUUUCUUUUUUAAACACUUUGCAAUUUUUUUAGACAACAACUAGCAAGCAAGCAAGUAAGUAGUUUUACUCUUUACUUUUAUUUAGCUUUCGAGUUCAAAAGUCUAGCCUAGUUAAGAAAAGUAGAAAUUAUAUUUAAAGCAUUAACAAAAGACUGUCCUUGUUAUCAUUCAGGAGCAAAGAAUUUAUGGAGGAAAAGUUUUUAAUGAAAAUUAAGGUUUUUAUUUUUGAAAAAAAUAAUAAGAACUUAGUAAAAGUUUCUGCUGAUUUUCUAAAAGUUUCUUUUUAAACACUGUCUCCGUUGGCCCGUUUAGCCGAUAAUGUGUUGAGAAGGCGUUUUUGGGCGUUAGUCAGGAGUUGAAAGUGUGUUUGAUAUGCAUGUUUUCAGAAGCAGUUAAAUAAACUUUGAAAUGCCAGUUUUUGGCAAAGCAGCUUUCGUAAUUUUCAUAAAGCUUUUUUGAGAUUACUCUGUAUAUAGGCGGGAAACCAAAGAGACGGAAAGAGAAAAACGGGCGCUAGGUUCCGACUAGGAGAAAACUGUACGUGGCUUGUUAUAUCAGCAGUGCAAACAUAUCUAAUUCCCAUUCGAGUUAACCAUCAGAAUAUAUAUCGCUGGUUUCCCAGUGGGUGGAUGGGUCAUGAGUGUGUCGGUUAGGAGCGGAACAAGCCAAUCUUAACUGGAGGGGCUAAAUAAUUUUUUCAAACUUAUAAAAUAAGUAUUUUAUUAAUAUAUAUUUACUUCAAUAAAAAAUAUUAAAUAUUGAUUUUUUUUUUAAAGGGCCCAUGUAAUCCCUUAAUAGAUCCGCCCCUGGUGUUGGUGGUUGGACGGUACAGAAUAGACCCAAGGAGAAUGCAGGGUUGACUUCUGUCCCUUGAAUAAAUUUUUUGAGUCGAGCUCUUGUUUUAUCAUUGAAAUACUCUGCAAGUGAAAAAAAUCCUGCAGUCUCCUUUCCAAAUCAUUCCGUAAUGCACUCUUCAUUGUCGGCGAUGAGUGUUAGCGGGAACUGGUGUUCUGUUCUUUUCUUUCUUAUUUUCUCUACGCCAUUUUCUUGCUUGGUUGAUGCCCAAAGUUUUGAUUAUCCGACAGCGAACCUCUCUACUUCAUGGACCAACGGUCUGUCAGCUUCUCACUCGGUAGCUUUUACUGACGGAUCAAAGGUAAGAGCCAUCCUUCUUAGGGGAACCUUUGGCCCCAGAUAUGCAUGUGGCUUCUUCUGCAAUGGCACCUGUGACUCUUAUCUAUUUGCUGUUUUCAUAGUUCAGACCAAUAGUGUCUCCAAUAUCGUUUCUCCAGCUUUCGGAUUUCCACAUGUAGUCUGGUCUGCUAAUCGUAACAAUCCUGUUCGAAUAAACGCAACCUUAGAACUCACUUCAGAUGGGAACUUGGUCUUGCAAGAUGCUGACGGAGCUAUUGCUUGGUCGACGAAUACCAGUGGUAAAUCUGUUGUGGGCUUAAACUUGACAGACAUGGGCAACCUCGUACUCUUUGACAAGAAUAAAGCAGCGGUUUGGCAAUCUUUCGAUCAUCCAACGGACUCGCUGGUUCCUGGCCAAAAAUUGUUGGAAGGGAAGAAACUUACAGCUAGUGUUUCAACCACGAAUUGGACGGAUGGAGGUUUGCUUUCACUUUCUGUCACUAACGAAGGAUUAUUUGCUUUCAUAGAGUCUAAUAAUACUUCAGUACCGUAUUAUAAAUUACUCAGAGCCUCAAAAACAAGUAAGGAACCAAGCCAUGCUAGAUAUCUGAAUAGAAGCUUAGCUUUAUUCAUCAAUACCUCCGAACCAAGGGAACCAGAUGGGGAAGUUUCUCUUCAUCCAGCAUUAUUAUUCCCGGGACAGUACAUGAGAUUGUGGCCUGAUGGACAUUUAAGAGUUUACGAGUGGCAACAGUAUGAUGGGUGGACAGUAGUGGGAGAUCUAUUGACAGGUAUUUUUGGGGAAUGCGGUUAUCCUCUGGUUUGCGGCAAGUAUAGCAUCUGCUCUCGGGGGCAAUGCAGUUGUCCUGCAACCUAUUUCAAGCCAUUAAAUGAAAGACAGCUUGCCCUUGGGUGCUCCCAGAUUACUCCCUUAUCGUGUGAAGCUUCGCAAGAUCAUAGUUUUGUUGAACUCAAUGAUGUCACUUACUUCGCGUUUAGCUCAUUUAGCUCAGACCUUACGAAUACAGAUCCGGAGACAUGCAAACAAGCCUGUUUAAAUAAUUGCUCUUGCAAAGCUGCUCUUUUUCAGCGUGGUUUGAACUCUUCUGCUGGAGAUUGCUACUUACCAUCUGAAAUCUUUUCAAUGAUGAAUAAUGAGAAGGAAAGGACUCAUUAUAACUCAACUGCUUACAUUAAGGUUCAAAACUUGCCAGUGCCGGGUGCAAGUCCUGAAGGAAAGGAGACGAGCCACAGAAAAAGAAUAAUGGGGUUCAUCCUUGGAUCUUUCUUUGGUUUAUUAGUUCUAAUUGGUAUCUUGAUCUUUUUCUUUCGGAAGAAAAAGGGGGCUGAUGAAAUUGAGGAAGAUUGUUUAGAUCAAGUGCCAGGACUACCCAAAAGAUUCUCAUUUGAAGAGUUGAAAGUCAUGACAGACAAUUUCAGAAAGAUACUGGGUAAGGGGGGUUUUGGCUCAGUCUUUGAGGGGACACAAACUGAUGGCACAAAAGUUGCAGUGAAACGUCUCGAAGGAAUUGGUGAAAUCAAUAAAUCUUUCUUAGCAGAGGUGAAGACAAUUGGAAGCAUUCACCAUCUGAACUUGUUGAGGUUGAUAGGGUUUUGUACUGAGAAAUCUCAUAACCUUCUUGUUUAUGAAUACAUGCCGAAUGGAUCUCUAGAUAGGUGGCUUUUCCAGAGAUCAGAUGAGUUUAUGCUUGACUGGCAGCAAAGAAAGAAGAUCAUCCUUGAUAUUGCCAAGGGACUAACCUAUCUCCAUGAAGAUUGCAGGCAGAAGAUACUCCACUUGGAUAUCAAGCCCCAAAAUAUUCUGCUAGAUGACAACUUUAAUGCCAAAGUUGCUGAUUUUGGUUUGUCGAAAUUGAUUGACCGGGACCAGAGCCAAGUUGUGACAACCAUGAGAGGAACUCCAGGCUAUUUGGCUCCUGAAUGGCUUAGCUCAGUAAUUACAGAAAAAGUAGAUAUCUAUAGCUUUGGAGUUGUGAUGUUGGAGAUAUUGUGUGGCCGGAAAGUUUUUGACCGCUCUCAGCCUGAGGAGGAAGACAUGUAUUUGCUAAGCAUAUUCAAUAAGAAGGCAGAGGAGGACAAAUUGUCUGAUCUGGUAGAUAAACACAGUAACGAUAUGCAAUCAAAUGAAGAAGAAGUAGUGAAUAUGAUGAAGGUAUCUGCAUGGUGUCUGGAAAGUGAUUUUGUAAAGAGACCUUCCAUGUCAAUGGUAGUUAAGGUUUUGGAGGAUGUUACAGAGUUUGGGCAUAACCUCCAUUAUAACUUGGUUCAUCUACCAACUACAGCAGCAUUAACAAACGUUGAUCGUAGAGAAGAAAAUGAUAAACCCAUUACUCAAUUGUUGCCUUCAGUUUUGUCAGGGCCAAGAUGACAGACGGCUAGCAGGUAUACAUACCACUUUUCCAUUCUUGAUUAGCAUUAAUAAUGUUUACCAACAACUUUUGUUUUUGGACUUGAAAAAGAAAUCCAAUUGGGCUUUACCAGCAACUUUCAGCAUCUUUCUUGAAAAAAAUAAAAAACAACUGGCCCCAAAUUUUUGUAGGGUUAUUCGUGGAUACAAACCGGAAUAAAAGAAACUUCAAAUCUUUGAUAAGAAUGUAAGUUUCAUUAUCGAUUUAUUAUGCAAAGUUUAAAUUCGUGGACCAAUAACUGCAGGAACCUUCUAACGUACGUAUGUGCUAAUUCAGAAAUUCGUGGCAAGUCUCAGUAGUAAUUGAUCUCAAAUUUGCAGUAUCUGGCGAAUCUUAUCAUUGACUGAGCUUUGGCCCUGAUCUUUUCUGCUUCUCAAGCAGAUCAGUGGCAGAAACAAGAAGAGGGUGCCUACAACAUUAAACUUUUGCCAAGCAAAAUUGAGCGAAGAAGUCCAAUCUUAUGGGAAGUUAACUCAAGCUUUUACUAGUGGAUCUUCUGUAAGAUAAAUACUUCCGAAAAAUGGAUGUUCUACAGUGAUUUUGUCAGUCUAUAUUUGUUGUUUAGACGCUGAGAAUGUCUGUCUUUAGACAUUGCGAAUGUAAGUGGGGGAGGCGAAGCAAGCUGCAUUACAUUGAACGCUUUAUUUUGAUUUGUUCAAUGCUUCAAUAUAUAUAUAUGAUAGGUCUAAAAUGUUGCUUAAUAAAGAGCAUUAAAUAGUAUCUUUAUUAUAAUAUUUACCUACUGGUUACUUGUUAGUGAAACAAGGAGUUGGGGAAAUUUUGUUUUUUGGAAACAAAGAGAUCCCACUAUAAUGAAGAGUAUGCCAAAACUUAAGCUCUUGGGUCGAGUGGUAACAGAGCAAUUUUAGUCUCACUUUUUAUGACCUCUCUUGUUGUGUUAGGAGGGUAUGGCUAAUUUUUGGAUGAAUAUAAUUAUCAUGAGGACAUAUUGCAGAGGUUGAAUAUAAUCGUCAUGAAGACAUAUUGCACCUAAGAUUAAGAAUAUAAUGUAGAAAGUUUUUGCAAAGACUGUCCAUAGCUUAUAUACUGCACCCUGAGUCCUUAAAUAAUCAAAUCUCUAGUUAAACGCUCGUAAAAGUUUUGACUUCUAUGUGGCAAGGCUUCAAGUGUAUACUAUCUCACCCUUUUCUUUGAUGUGGGAUCUCUCUUUGAUUAAACUUAUUGCCAUUUUCAAGGUUUUAUAAUUUCUCCAAUAUAAAACUUUUGUAUUUUGUUGUGAUCAUAUAUCACUUCAUAUUCCAGUUGCGAAGGAGACAGAGUUUGAGUUUUGGGCAUUUCUUUUGUUAUGCUUGCUGCUGUCAUGUCUGGAUUUCGUUGGUGCAUGACUCAAAUUCUUCUACAGGUAUGGUUUAGUUGUAUUCCUGAUAUACAUGGUUUAUGGAAUUUGUGUAACUUAAACCCAAUUUUUUUCCAACCUGACUUUAUUUUUUUGUUUGGAUUUCAAUACGAUGGUCCGUGGCAAAAUAAAAAUGGAUGUAAAAAAAGAAACUUACGGUAGGUACUUAUUCUUUUUCUUUUAUUUCAUUUGAAUUUUAGCCAAUCUCAACUGCUACUAGAUUUUAUCUAUUGCCAUAAGUAUCUGCAAGCAUGCUUUGCACAUAUUAGAUUUUCAUGUACCGCUGUAAGCAUCUGCAAGUGUGUGUAACAUGUAUGUUCCUCAGAAUUUACUUUAGAUAAUGAUGAUACAUAGAAAUACUGUUUAUUGGACCUUUUCUUAUGAGCUUGAGCUUUUGGAAUUAAUAGUCUUUUAAUAUGGUGUCAUUCUGCUUUUUUCUAAGCUAGCCAGCACUUAUUGAUGAACAAAUUUUGCUCUUGGUAAAAAGCUUGAGUCUCUGGUGAACAAACUUAUACAUUACAUUUCUUUCCUAGAUGCUUUGCCUCAGUUUUUAUACCAUUAUUUCUAAUCAAUCACUAGGAAGUGUUUUCUUUAUUUUUUGUUUUUAGGUCUUAAAAAUCCACUUACCUUGAUGAGCUAUGUGGCACCAAUUAUGGCGCUGGUGACUGCUCUUCUUUCUCUAUUGCUGGAUCCAUGGCAUGAAUUCAAAAGGAAUAAUUAUUUCAAUAACUCAUGGCAUGUCACCCGGAGUUUGUUGCUGAUGCUUUCCGGCGGAGCUUUGGCCUUUUUCAUGGUAAGAAUUGAUGUCGAACAAAAGGAUUGGGGGGAAGAUACAUUUACAUGCUUUUCGUGUUGCAUAUUGAGUACGCUUGGUCUGAGUUUCAUGGUCUCCAAAAGAAAUUAAUACAUUUACAUGCUUUUCAUGUUGCAUAUUGAGUACACUUGAUCUGAGUUUCAUGGUCCCCAAAAGAAUUAACUUGUUUCCCUUGUUACAGGUUUCGACGGAAUUUGUACUUGUCUCGGUAACAAGUGCUGUCACUGUUCAAAUUGCAGCUGUUGUCAAGGAGGCUGUUAACAUAUUGGUAAAAUUUUUCUAGGGUAGUUCGUCUUUCUAGAUUAUUUUGGUAAAAUGUUGGCCAUUGUAUGUGCUUUAUUGUGAAAUCCUUUAGUUACAAUACCGUUCUGUUUGAAACAUUAAAUAUUCAAACUCUCCUAUUAGAUAAGAUAAAUACCCUGUUUGUCAUGAGCUGCAAUUAUUCAUGAUUAUGGCUAUUGUCUUUAAAUAUUUUUUACGGUCUGAGCCAUCUUUUGUAACUUUUGAUUGUGAUCUAUAAUUACAUUUAGAUUUUUGUUUGAGGAUGUUUAAUGCAUCUAUAGAUGUAAGAAUCACGCUUUGAUUGUUUUACUAGUUUUAUUGUCACAGUGUAGGCUGUGUAGCUCUCUCCUGCAUAGACGGACACCCGGCUUUGAUUGUUUUACUAGUUUUAUUGUCGCAAUGUAGCUGUCUCCUGCAUAGACAGACACUGUAUAGAAUUAAACCCUAGUCUUAUGUUUUCUUAUUGUGUUUUUUCAUUUGGUUAAUUAUUUUAUUAAUAAUUACAAAUAUAAAAAACAUGAAUGGCUACACAGUAUAAGGACUCUCAAAGGAUUCUACUUCAAUAUGUAAAUGUACAGGUUGCAGUGUUUUACUUCCAUGAUGAGUUCACUUGGCUGAAGGGGUUUGGUCUCUUCACAAUCCUGGUCGGUGUCAGUUUAUUCAAUUGGUACAAGUAAGUCAUUAGUUAUUGUAGUUUUGAACUAUUAUUGUAUGUUUCUUCUCUUUUUCUUUUUUCCUUUUUUUUCUGUGUUAACUGAUUUUGUUGUUGUCUUUUUUUUUUCAACUAUUAUUUGGCUGUUAGAUUAUUGCUUAGUGUGUAGUGGCCAAAUGUGGAUUGUGUGAUGCAGAAUACAUAAGUAUCCAGUUCAUUGCUAAUAAUCUUAAAACUUCCUCUCAUCAAAGAGUCCAAUUAAAUGGGACAAAAUGUAAUUGUAGAACUUUUGGACUGGACAAAUUUCCCAUGACUAGCCUUUGCUUUUGGCUGUUUGCAUGAGAAGGAUGUUCCUUUAACUUCCAUGUUUUCCAUGUUAAAUACCCUUCUAUAACAUUAAACACUAAAGCUUGGUUGAUGUCCACCAGAUGUUAUAUGUCAGAUUUGCGAACAUUCUGGUGGUGAGCUUUAAUCUUUUCUGUGAACGGUUAGCCUGCUGCACAAAAUUGGAUCAUUAUACAAAGGUUCCACAUUAUGUGCCCUAGUCAUUGAAGUUUGAUAAAAUUUAAGAAUAUGAUAAUGACAUUUCUCGAAAUCCAAGAAAGCUUCCCAAUGGUCAUUAUGUGUCAUUAUAAAUGGGAUCAACCAACUUCUAAUUGCCUUGUCCUGCUGCUAUCAGUUAGCAAUGAGAAUUGAUAUUUUACCGGCUCAUCCAGCUAAAUUUUGUCAAGUCCUUUGCUCCUCACUUACCAAAUUUGACAUGUAUUGAUUGCAUUUGUUUGUGGAUCUCUUGAAUAAUAUUUUGGUUGUUGAUGUUUCUUCCUGACAUAUUAAAAAUAUUGGAAUUUUAGAGUCUCUCUAGUCUCUGAGAUUAUGGAUCAGAAAAGCAUCUGUAUUCAACAUUAGUUGUGGAACAAUUUACGGGCAGACUGAUAAAGCUCAACUUUAAGUUACCUAAUCUUAACGCCUGAUUUCUGCUGUGUGCUUCUUGUCAACUUUUUCCUAAUCUGGGUUCUGUUAUUGAUUGUUACUCUUUUUUAUCCUUUUUCAGAUACCAAAAGCUUCAGGCAGGUCAUGCAAAUGAAGAUAGCAUGCUGGGAUCACGUGAAACAAAUGCUUCUGCAAAAUAUUUUAUUCUAGAGGAGAUUGAUGAUCUAGAUGAGGGCACUUGAAGUUUCUAGUAAUCACAUGAUUUGAAUUUUGAUAAUCUUGUGUAAGCCUCUUGCUGAACCUUCUCCCCUAAAAACAUGGACAUCUAUGCAGUUUGGGGUGGAACCUUAGGUUGAUGCAACGGUUUGAUUUGGUAUUUAUCAGUGGUCCAAGUUUGUGUAAUGAUCCAUUAAUUUACAUUUUGUUUGGGGAAAAAAUAAGAAAGAUAGCAGAACGCCACGUGUCGACGAAUGAAAUAACUUCAAUGCAAUCUGAGGUACCCGACAUGAUUAGAGGUACCACGCAAGAUUAGUAGUACCUGCCAUGAUUUAAGGUACCCGGCAUGAUUAGAGGUACCCGGCACGGUCAGAGGUACCUCACAUAACUCCAGAGUAACUCGAGGUACCCGGCAUAGACUGGGGUACCCCGUAUAAUUUGAGGUACUCGGAAUAACUCUAACAUAAUUCAAGGUACUCGGAAUAACUCCAACAUAAUUCAAGGUACUCGGAAUAACUCGAGGUACCCAGCAUGAUUAGAGGUACCCGGCGUGAUUAGAGGUACCCGGCGUGAUUAGAGGUAUCCCGCACAAUUAAAGGUACCUGGCUUAAUUACAGGUACCCGGCUUGAUUAGAGGUACCCCGCAUGAUUAGAGGUAUCCGGCGUGAUUAGAGGUAUUCGCGUGAUUAGAGGUAUCCGACCUGAAUAGAGGUACCCCGCAUGAUUAGAGGUACCUGGUGUAAUUAAAGGUACCCGGCUUGAUUAGAGGUACUCAGCACAAUCUGAGGUACCCCACACAAUCCGAAGUACCCGACAUGAUUUAAGGUACCCCGAAUAAAUAGAGGUACCCGACAUGAUACGAGAUACCAUACACAAUCCGAGGUGCCCGGCGUGAUUUGAGGUACCCUGCAUAAUUAGAGGUACCCCGCACAAUUAGGGGUACCCCGCACAAUUAGGGGUACCCCACGUAACUCGAGGUACCCGGUAGAUCAGAUGCAAGAGAACCUUCCGAAAAUAUCCGCCGUGAGAAACGUCUCAAUCUCUUAAUAGAUAUUAUUUGAUUUUGUCAGAAUUAGGAAUCAAGAACGUCGUACGAAAAGAGGGGGACAGCCGCAUGCUACCUCUGCCAAAAGUGAAGGACACUGUCCCAAGGACAGUGGUCCUCAGCUGCCUCCCGACAGCUACUGCAAAGGUACCCUAGACCACUCUCCAGCGCGCGCCACGUUUCCAAAGGAUGAGAUACGCCACGAACAUGCACAUAACGGCUCAAAAAUCAUAAAAAGGCAAAGGGACGUUAGUUAAAAAGGGUACGCCACGUGGCAGCUGAGGUACUCCAUAUAUAAAGGUGUCUAGGUUUUAUUUUCCAAGAUGUUCUCACUCACCAUUAACACUCACACUCCAAAAAAUAGGUUUUCUUCAACCUUAAACCAUAAUUUACAGAGGGCUAGCCAGUUCUCUUGACCAUAAAAGCUUGAGUUUGCUAACUUGAGCGUCAGAGUAUGAAUGCUGGGGUACCCCGGCUUCACCUCUAACCUCUAUUUCAUUAUUUUACAGGCGUGGAGCCCACUUUGAAGACCACCUCUCUUGGUUUUGAGCUUUCUCCAUUGUUAUCACUUCAUCUCCCCUUCUCACCUCCCCCAAAUUUCAGGUAUGCCGCACUGCGCACAAUAAACCAGUGAGGUACCCCAUCUCCCCCAAAAAUACAAAUUCAUUGUUCAAGAUAGAUUUUGGCUUUUCCUACCCCAAAAAUUGUUGAAAAUAAUUGGCGCCGUUUGUGGGGAGUCGCACAAAAAGCCUCAUCCGCGGUUACCAAACUAGUUGUUUUGUGUACUCCAAUACAUGGCACCCGACGUACCUCCCGAAGGUUUAAUGGGGGAUCCUACAAGGAUGAGAGAUGACAGCAGCAGUGAAGGUAGUGAUCUCGCAAGAAGGGUAGCCCGCAUAAGUAAGAGCAAGGGUAUCAAGCAAUCGACGGGUGUUCGCCAAGAUGAGGAACAUAUUUCUCACAAGCGUUUCGAGGAUCUUGCCGACGCAAUACUUAGGGCAGUUGGAUCUCGGGCACCCGAAAGUUCACUUCCACCAGUGACGCUAGAAGCUCCACAACCUCAAACGGACGACCAAGCUAUAGUCAGAAAAGAGGUACCCGAGGCCAACAAGCUAAAGCAUAGGUCAUCGGGUACCCGUUCUAAGUUUCAAACCGUGGGCUCCCGAGACGAGCAUUCCACCGUCUCUUGCAAUUCCCGCAGCAGCCAGGGUACGAGGCGUGCAAAACGUGCCCACGAGGAUCUCCGUGAAAAGUUAAACGCCGAAAGGGCUUUUCAAAUGGCGGCGACAUCAUCGGGUACUCCGAGGGUACCCCACGAACUUAUGGAAAAAAUGGAGAACCUGGAAGCCCAAGUGAAGCUCCUCUCCGAGAAGCAAAACAUCAUAGCUGCUCCAACGCCAAUGACCUACCAAUCGCCAUUCACUAUAGAGAUUCGGACGGCAGCUCUCCCCGAGGCGUUCGCCAUGUCUCAGAUACUACCACUGAUCUCUCGGAGCAUUUGAAAACCAACACACACUGACCCAUUUCGAGAAAAAUUUACGGUUGAGCAAGUUAUGACGUUCCUUUCAAAAGAAGCGUCCACUUUCAUAUGGGGAAGUCUGUUCCCGGGCGUUGCAGCAAGUGGAGAUGGAUGAGAAAUGUCAUUUGAAGCGCCAAGAAGAUAAGGUCGAGGUCAUAAAGAAUAAGGAGAAGCCAAAGAGGACGGAAGCACCAAUACCAAGGGUACCCCAAAUGCGGAGUCCUCCACGGGUUGCCCCGCGGGGACGAGUGUUUAACACUCAGGGUAUCUCACGGGUACCCCAACCUCCAAGAUCGCCACCACCAGAGCAGAAAGAGCCACCACCAAGGCCUCAGUGGUAGGGUACCCCAUAACUAGUUACUCUAGAGUUAUGCGGGGGUACCCCACGGGGACCAGAUUAAGCCCAAAUGUGAAUUGGAGGCACAUUUGGAUCCUCGAAUACCCAAAGAUGAAAAACAGGGUACCCCCGUUGAAGACUCGGUUUUAGUCUCGAUAUGAGCCACCGAUCCAACAAAGAAAAGUCAUACUACUAGUAAAAAUAUUGUUUAUUAUGAUGCAAGAGGGUAUCCAGAGAUCACCUUACUCCAGGGUACCCGAGGUACCUGACAUAUCCCCUAUUAUGAUAAUCUACUUAACAUCAGAGCCGCCUUUAUCAUUAUUUGUUCGCCAUAUUUGAUUAUGAGCGAAUGGUCGAUCAUGAGGCUUCAAUCAUUUCGCAUAAGGGUAGGCAAGCAGCCACCUUCAUCUUUAUUUAUGUUGUCUAUUUUAUUCCAUGCGAAUGGUGGAUCAUGAGGUUUCGACCAUCUUGCAUAAGGGUAGGCGAGCAAUCACCUUUAUCUCAAUCUAUAUUGUCUAUUUGAUUCCAUGCGAAUGGUGGAUCAUGAGGUUUUCGACCAUCUCGCAUAAGGGUAGGCGAGCAGCUACCUUCAUCUCAAUCUAUGUUGUCUAUUUGAUUCCAGCGAAUGGUGGAUCAUGAGGUUUUUGACCAUAUCGUAUAAGGGUAGGCGAGCAGCCACUUUUAUCUCAAUCUAUGUUGUCUAUUUGAUUCCACGCGAAUGGCGGAUCAUGAGAUUUUCGACCAUCUUGCAUAAGGGCAGGCGAGCAGCCCACCUUUAUUACUAUUUGUCUUGCAUAUUUGAUGUAGAGUGAAUGGUGGAUCAUGAGGUUUUCCAUCAUCUCUCAAAAGGAAUCGCCACAAGUUUUGUGAAGAUUUGCGGCAAGCAUUUCUAUAAAAAUCGUCAUACACUAAUUAAGGGUACCUCCGAGGUACCCCACGCCAGAAAGUCAUUCCUCAAAUACACUAAGAGAGCUUGAGAUAAACAACAAGCAUAUCUGGAGGAAUCACCAUAUGUUUGAUGAAAUUGAGUUGUUCCGCCAUGAAUUAACCGCAACAAGCAUGUCUAAGUAAACCGCGAUACACUGAUGAAACAAGAUUAAUGGUACCCAUAGUACUCAGGGUACCCUAUGACAGAAAACUAUUCCUCGUGUACUAAGAUAAGCAGCAAGCAUAUUUGAAGGAAUUGUCAUAUGUUUGAUAAAAUUGGGUUAUCCCUCCAUGAAGUAACAGAUAGCUCAGGGGAUAUCCAAGCUUAAGGGUACCUGAGGUACCCCAUACGCCUUGUCGGUAAUGCCGAACAAGGUUACAUAGUAGGAUGGUUAUCUUCACCUUCAUCAUUAAGGAUAAGGGGAUCAACAAAAAUGCUAGAAAUAGCAGAAACACAAGCGUCGAUAUCAGGGGUACCUUAUGGCGACUUCAUUUGAGGUACCCCAGUUGAUCUCCAUGGGCUUUCAGACCAAGAUGUGUAGGGAGCCUUGCUAUUCUCAAUUGCCCUCAAGAUAGUCAGUUUAUCUACCUAGUUCUCUACUCUUGGCACCACCAGCCCCAUAUCAGCACUCCAUUCCUCGGUCAUGAUGCGCUCAAAAGCAUUGUCAACUAUGUUCUUCUGUCGAGGUACCAAAUCUUCAAGCUUAACUUAAAGCUCCUCAGGGUCUUCCACCUUAUGGGCCUUCUCCUCUGAAACUUCAUCAAAGUGUUUCCUUAAAGUCUUGUUUACUCUAGAGAUAUUCCCUUCGUGAGGGUACCCCUAGAGGCGUCCUCUAUUCAGCUGUCCAUCGAGCUAAACUUUAUAUCGCCACGUGUCGCUCCUACAUUUUAUGUAAGUUUCUUUUGCCUCCAAUACUUCUCGCCAAAAGAAACUAGGGGGAUGUUGUUUGGGGGAAAAAUAAGAAAGAUAGCAAAACGCCACGUGUCGACGAAUGAAAUAACUUCAGUGUAAUCCGAGGUACCCGACAUGAUUAGAGGUACCCCGCAAGAUUAGAGGUACCUGCCAUGAUUUGAGGUAUGCGGCAUGAUUAGAGGUACCCGGCACGGUCAGAGGUACCUCACAUAACUCCAGAGUAACUCGAGGUACCCGGCAUAGACUGGGGUACCCCGUAUAAUUCGAGGUACCCGGAAUAACUCCAACAUAAUUCAAGGUACUCGGAAUAACUCGAGGUACCCAGCAUGAUUAGAGGUACCCGGCGUGAUUAGAGGUACCCUGCAUGAUUAGAGGUACCCGGCUUGAUUAGAGGUACCCCGCGCAAUUAAAGGUACCCGGCUUGAUUAGAGGUACCCCGCAUGAUUAGAGGUAUCCGGCGUGAUUAGAGGUACCCGACCUAAUUAGAGGUACCCCGCAUGAUUAGAGGUACCCGGCGUAAUUAGAGGUGCCCGGCUUGAUUAGAGGUACCCAGCACAAUCUGAGGUACCCCACACAAUCCGAAGUACCCGACAUGAUUUAAGGUACCCCGAACAAAUAAAGGUACCCGACAUGAUACGAGAUACCAUACAUAAUUCGAGGUACCCGGCGUGAUUUGAGGUACCCUGCACAAUUAGAGGUACCCUACACAAAUAGAGGUACCCCGCACAAAUAGAGGUACCUCGCACAAUUAGGGGUACCCCAUAUAAAUUGAGGUAUCCCACGUAACUCGAAGUACCCGGCAGAUCAUAUGCAAGAGAAUCCUCCGAAAAUAUCCGCCGCGAAAAACGUCUUCAUCUCUUAAACGAUAUUAUUCCAUUUUGUCAGAAUUAGGAAUCAAGAACGUCGUAGGAAAAGGGGGGGACAGCCGUCUGCUACCUCUGCCAAAAGUGAAGGACACUGUCCCAAGGACAGUGGUCCUUAGCCGCCUACCCGACAGCUACUGCAGAGGUACCUUGGACCACUCUCAAGCACGCGCCACGUUUCCAAAGGAUGAGAUACACCGCGAACAUGCACAUAACGGCUCAAAAAUCAUAAAAAGGCAAAGGGACGUUAGCCAAAAAGGGUACGCCAUGUGGCAAUUGAGGUACUCCAUAUAUAAAGGUGCCUAGGUUUUAUUCUCCAGGAUGUUCUCACUUACUAUUAACACUCACACUCUAAAAAAUAGGUUUUCUUCAACUUUAAACCUUAAUUUACAGAGGGCUAGCCAGCUCUCUUGACCAUAAAAGCUUGAGUUUGCUAACUUGAGCGUCGGAGUGUGAACGUCGGGGUACCCCGGCUUCACCUCUAACCUCUAUUUCACUAUUUUGUAGGCGUGAAGCCCACUUUGAAGGCCACCUCUCUUGGUUUUGAGCUUUCUCCAUUGUUACCACUUCAUCUCCCCUUCUCACCUCCCCCAAAUUUCAGGUACACCGCACCACGCACAACAAACCAGUGAGGUACCCUAUCUCCCUCAAAAAUACAAAUUCAUUGUUCAAGAUAUAUUUUAACUUUUCCUAACCCAAAAUCUGUUGAAAACACAUUUGAUUAUCAGGUUAUCAGCCAAAGAAAUCCGUGGCAUCAGUAGUAACUGGUCUCAAGUUUGCAGUACUUAGCAAAUCUUAUUUUUGGCUGAGCUUCGGCCUUGAUUUUUUCUUCCCCUCAAGCAGGUCAGUGGCAGAAACGUAUAGGGUGUGUACAACAUCAGGGGUUUAGCAAAUACAUUUUGGCAAGCGAAAUUGAGUGAAGACUGAAGAAGCCUGUUCAUGUGGGAAGUUUACCUCAAGCUUUUUACUAGUGGGAAGCCUGAAUCGUUAGCAGAAUUAAAAAGAGAAAUUUCACAUUUAAAUCCAGUAGGUUAUAGCUAUAGAGAAUUUAGUUAGGAGAGUAACAAUAUUCAACAAGCACAAGCUAGCACAAUAGUCAAAUUAUUAGUCAAAAUCAAUAAUAGACUAAAAGACUUAGACAAUAGGCUUAAUAGAUUAGAAAGUAAUUUUCAAACCGUUAGAAAAAACAAAGAAUCUGUAUCUCACCUAGAACUUAGCAACAAUUUAGAUAACAUAGACAAAGAACUAGAAGCAUUAACAAACCAUGUACAAAAAUUAAAUUUAAGAGAACUAGUCUUAACACGUAGGACAAUAGACAUUAAAGAUAUUUUAGGACCAAAAGUAAUAUUAAAAAGUAAUGGAUCUAGUAAGAAACAGUAGAGUAGACGUAAACAUAACAGAAAGAAUUAGAAGGUCACUUUCAUUUUCUAGCAAAGGUAAAGAAAUAAUAGAAAGAACGUAAGAUAUAAUUAACAAACAGGAUCCCGAUAAAUUAUUAGAAAAAGGUUUCGAGCAAAUUAAAAGGAAAAAAAUUAUAUAAUGAAGGUUUAAAUUCAAAAUUAAAUAAUAGUUUAUAUAUUUACACCGAUGAAACAAAAUUAUUAGUAGUAAAUAGAGAAGAAUUAACUUUAAUUAGUCCAGUAGGAAGAGAUUAUCUUAGAAAGCAGAAUUAUACAGACAUACACAUGGGAAUAAUAAUCAUAGGCAUACUCAGUCAAGCUAGAGAGGGACUAGACACAAAAGCACAUUUAUAUUUAUAUGAUAGUAGAUUUUAUGAUCACGAGCAAGCCCAAAUAGCUAGUGCAGAAGUAGAUUUAAAAAAUAAAGUAGCAGUAGUAGGAUGCAUACCCAAUAUAGAUAUAGACAUAAAUGAAUUUGGUAAACAUAUUAAAUUAAGUGUAUAAACUAAAGGAUAUAAAAUGAAUGCAGAAUAUAAAAACCUUAGAAUUAAAACAUUUUUUUUAGGAAAAUUAUAUAAUAAAUAUCAUACGAAAUUUAGAUUUGAAAGUAAAAUAUUGUAGAUUGUUUUAAAAGUCAGUACGUAGAAAUUAUAGUACCUAAAAAAUUAACCAGUAGCGAAUUAAAUGGUUUAGAAUGGAUAUUACCUAAACUAGAACAAGAUAGAAUGUUAGAAGUACCUGAGACUAGUUAUACUUAUAUGAAUAUGCAAAAUCAAGUUACACAAAGAUUUAGUAAUUACAAACAGAGAAGUAAUCUAGAAUUAUAAGAAAAUGAAGAAGAGAUAGAAAUUAAUAUGGCAAUAAUAGACAAUUUAGACAUAGAUAAACAAAAAAAAUUAAUUAGUAAUAGAGAUAAAAUUAUAGACUUAAUAUUUAGUGAACCUAAAAAAUAUUUAGAUGAAGAAUUAUUUGAAGAACUAUGUAAUAAUGAUGAAUUAACAGACGAAGAUAUAGACAGAGAAUUAAUAAAAAAAAUUUAGAUUUUAAAAAUUUAGAAAUAGAUGAAAUUUAUUACUUAGAACAUGCAGAUGAAAUAUUAGUAGAAGAAGAAGAUGAAAAACCAGAAGUAGGAAAAAGUAGCCAUAAACCGGUAUUAGAACCUAUAGUAGAACCAUCCAAUGUAGAAACUUACUUGGACAAACGAGGAAUCCCAGAAACUAAUGAAAAAUACACAGAGCCGAAAGAGUAUUUAAAACGAAGGAUUAUUUGCUUUCAUAGAGUCUAAUAAUACUUCAGUACCGUAUUAUAAAUUACUCAGAGCUUCAAAAACAAGUAAGGAACCAAGCCAUGCUAGAUAUCUGAAUAAAAGCUUAGCUUUAUUCAUAAAUACCUCUGAACCAAGGGAACCAGAUGGGGAAGUUUUUCUUCAUCCAGCAUUAUUAUUCCCAGUACAGUACAUGAGAUUGUGGCCUGAUGAACAUUUAAGAGUUUACGAGUGGCAACGAUAUGAUGGGCGGACAGUAGUGGGAGAUCUAUUGACAGGUAUUUUUGGGGAAUGCGGUUAUCCUCUGGUUUGCGUGUAAGAGAGAUUGUUACAUUUUUCUUAAUCUUUGGUUUGAUAUUCUGGAUGAAAACGGUUUGCCGUUUCUUGAGAAAACGGCUAACCGUUGAAGUCCAGAGAGCAUGUUUUUGUUCUGGGAUAAAACGACUCACCGUUAUUGAGAAAACGGCUAACCGUUUAACUCUAGAGAGAAUGUUUUAUGUUCUAGAGAAAAACGGCUCAUCGUUAUUGAGAAAACGGCUAACCGUUUAUUUACAGAGAGCAACGUAUUUGACAUUCUGGAAUAAAACGGCUCACCGUUUAUUGAGAAAAUGGCUAACCGUUUAUUUCCAGAAAGGCGUCAACUGGAAAACGGUUAAGCAAGUUUGAAAUUUAAUUGUCAAUCAAUGCAAAUUCAAACCAAAAGAGUGUCUUUGAAGAAGUACCAUUUCGAAUGGUUGUAUUCUUUUAAAUAAACAUCUUCUUCAUUAAAAGAAAGAUAUACAAUUAGAUCUAUAAUGAGUUUUUACAGAUUUCAUAUAAGUUCUGGAAAUACAAUCUUAUUUGCUAAAGAUUGUAUUCAGGAUUUGAUAUAUCUUGGGGGUAAUUUGCCAUUAAAACUCUAUAGCAAAUCAAGAUUGGUGAGGGCAAAUAAAACCUUAAAGGAAAGUGUGCAAACACAUCUCAAAUCCUAAGAAAUUAUCUCUAUUCUUUGCCUCCAUAUUAUUAAAUUCACCAACAAUCUUUUAGGUUUUAUUUAAAUGGAGGCUGAGAAGAGUUUGACAUCUUUUCUGAAUCCUAGUGUUCAUCUCAAUCGUUUUGAUGGAACUAAUUUCACUUGUUGGAAGGGAAAAUUGUUCUUUCUCCUUACUGUUCUUAAAGUGGCAUAUGUUCUUGAUCUGAAAUUGGAACCAUUUCCAGAACCAAGAGAAGAUGAUACCGAAGUUGUUAAGGCUGCAAGGAAACGUCGUGAAGAUGAUGAAUUGAUGUGCCGGGGUCACAUACUCAAUACGUUUUCUGACAGGUUAUACGAUCUCUACAAUUCUAUGACUUCUCCGGUGGAAAUUUGGAAUGCUCUUGAGUACAAAUACAAAACGGAGAAAGAAGGUACUGACAAAUUCCUUGUAUCUAAAUAUUUUGAAUUUAUUAUGGUAGACAAAAAAUCUAUUCUUGAUCAAAUACAUGAGUUACAAAUUAUUGUUGCUAAGCUUCGAGAGUUAAAAGUUGAAAUUUCUGAAUCAUUUCAAGUUAGGGCUAUUAUUGCUAAAUUGCCUCAAAGUUGGAAUGAUUAUAGAAAGAAACUCCUUCAUAGUAAAGAGAACAUAACUUUAGAAGAAUUGCAAAAACACUUGAUAAUUGAAGAAGAGACUAGGUCUCGCGAAUCCAAGGAUAAGCAUGAUUCUACUAAAGUUAAUGUUGUUGAAGCUAGUAAAUUCUCAAAGAAUUUUAAAGUCAAGAAUGACAAGAAAUUCAAGAAGUCCAGCACACAAAAGUUUUCUGGAAAUUGUUUCUUUUGUGGUAAGAAAGGCCAUCGCCAAAGUGAUUGCAGAUUCAAGAAGAAAAAGGAAGAAGUGAAUUCCCAUAAAGCUAAUGUUAUUGAAAACAAAUCUAAAGAGAUUUGUGCUAUGGUUUCUAAAAUGCAAAUUGGCAUGAUUACCGAAACCAAUAUGGCUGAAACUAAGUCCUAUGAUUGGUGGCUCGAUUCGGGUGUAACAAUUCGGGUUUGUAAUGAUAAGAAAUUUUUCUAAUCAUACAAAGAAGAAACGGAAGGACAAAUGGUUCUCAUGGGGAACAAUAAUGCAGCCAUAGUAGUAGGGAAAGGAGUAGUUGAGAUCAACUUCACUUCUGGAAAGAAAGUCACAUUGUAUAAUGUCUUUCAUGUACCUUCUGUUAGAAAGAAUCUUAUUUCUGCUAGUUGUAUGUGUAAGCAUGGGCUUAAGAUUGUGCUUGAGGGUAAUACUUGUAUUGUCUCAAAGAAUGGAUUAUUUGUUGGGAAAAGGUAUUCUUGUGAUGGAAUGUACAAACUCAGCAUUAAUAAUAAUAAUAUCAACUUAGCUUAUAUUGUUGAGUCUUGUGAUAUUUGGCAUGCUAGAUUAGCACAUUUGAACUUUAGAUCUUUGAAAUACAUGUCUAAGCAUGGUUUGAUUAAUUGCAAUGAUGUUAAAGGUCAUAAGUGUGAAAUCUGCAUCCAAGCUAAAUUAACUAAGAAACCUUUUCCUAAAGCUGAACGAAAUACUCAAAUAUUGAAUUUAAUACAUACCGAUAUUUGUGAGUAUAAUGGCAUGUUAACAAGAGGAGGUAAGAGGUACUUUAUCACUUUUAUUGAUGAUUGUUCUAGAUACACUUAUGUGUAUUUACUUAGAACAAAAAAUGAAGCAUUUGAUAAAUUUAAAAUUUUCAAAGCUGAAGUUGAAAACCAAAAAGAUAAGAAAAUCAAAAUGGUUCGUAGUGAUAGAGGUGGUGAAUAUUUCUCAAUUGAAUUUAAUAAUUAUUGUGAAGAAUUUAGAAUUAUUCACUAAAGAUCAGCUCCAUUUACUCCUCAACAAAAUGGUUUGGCUGAAAGGAAGAAUAUGAUUUUCACGGAUAUGAUAAAUUCCAUGAUCCUUAAUGCAAAACUACCAAAUAAUUUGUGGGGGGAAGCAUUACUCACUGCAUGUCAUAUUCAUAACAGAAUUACAUCUUUGAAAACACAUAUAUCUCCUUAUGAAAUUUGGAAAGGAAGAAAACCAAACUUGAUGUAUUUAAGAGUCUGGGGUUGUUUAGCUUUUUAUAAAAUACAUUAUCCUAAGUCAUCAAAGUUGAGUGCUAGAGGUAUAAAAAGUGUUUUCGUAGGAUAUGCUGAAAAUUCCAAGGCUUAUAGGUUGUUAGAUUUAGAUUCUAAUGUGAUUGUGGAAUCUAGAGAUGUUGAGUUUAUUGAGAAUAAAUUUCAACUUGAUUCUAAUAUUGAAUUAGAAUCAAUUAUUGAUCAACCAUGUGUUAAUACUCCUGUUACCUACACUAACAAUAAUAAAAGGAAAGAGUCUAUGACAUCUUUCGAACUAAGGAGGAGUCAACGUGAAAAGAAAGAAAAAAGUUUAGCUCCGGAUUUUAUUUCAUCACAAGCACUACUCUUCUUGGUUGAAGGGGAUAGAAAGAAUGUACUUAACAAAGUACCAUUGUUGUUAAAUAUUGAAAAAUAUCCAAAGACAUUUAGCGAAGCUAUGUCUUCAAGAGACGCUUCCUUUUGGAGAGAGGCGGUAAAUGAUGAAAUGGAUUCAAUUAUGUCGAAUCAAACAUGGGUCUUGGUUGAUCUUCCUUCAGGAUCUAAACCAAUUAGCAGCAAAUGGGUAUUUAGAAUAAAGUACAAUAGUGAUGGUUCUUUGCAAACUUUUAAGACUAGAUUAGUAGCCAAAAGGUUUAAGCAAAGAAAUGGGAUUGAUUAUUUCGAUACAUAUGCUCCGGUAGCAAGGUUAACUUCUAUAAGAGUGCUAUUUGCAAUUGCUUCAUUGAAUAAAUUGUAUGUGUAUCAAAUGGAUGUUAAAACAGCUUUUCUUAAUGGUGAUCUUGAUGAAGAAAUCUAUAUGGAACAACCUGAGGGAUUUGUUUUGCCAGGAAAUGAGAAAAAGGUAUGCAAGUUAGUCAAAUCUCUUUAUGGUUUAAAGCAAGCACCAAAACAAUGGCAUGAGAAGUUUGAUUCGGUAAUUUUAUCUCAUGGUUUUAAGCAUAAUAAUGCUGAUAAAUGUAUAUAUUUUAAAUUUACGAAUGAUUUUGGUGUGAUUAUAUGGUUGUAUGUUGAUGACUUGCUUAUCUUUGGAACAAAUAUGCAAGGAGUAGAUGAUACAAAGAAGUAUUUAACUUCACAGUUUAAGAUGAAAGAUCUUGGUGAAGUAGAUACUAUCUUAUGUGUCAAAGUGAAUAAACAUAGUGGGGGUUACUCGUUGUGUCAAUCUCAUUAUAUAGAGAAAGUGCUUCUUAAAUUCAAUUAUUUGAAAUUUAAAGAAGCUAAUACCCCAUAUGAUUCUAGUAUUAAAUUACUAGAGAAUUCAGGCCGAGUAGUAGCACAACUAGAAUAUGCUAGUGCUAUUGGUAGCUUGAUGUAUGCUAUGCAUUGUACGAGGCCUGAUAUAGCAUUUGCAGUUUGCAAAAUGUCAAGAUUCACGAGUAACCCUAGUGUUGAACACUGGAAAGCAAUUGGUAGGAUACUUGGUUAUCUUAAAAGGACCAUUAAUUUGGGUUUGUUUUAUAAUGAUUAUCCUGAAGUACUGGAAGGAUAUUCAGAUGCUAGUUGGGUAACCAAUACAAGAGAUAAUAAAUCCACUUCUGGUUGGAUUUUUACAAUUGCUGGAGGAGCGGUUUCUUGGGCUUCAAAGAAACAAACGUGCAUAACUCAUUCAACAAUGGAAAGUGAGUUUAUAGCACUUGCAGCUGCAGGCAAAGAAGCAGAAUGGCUGAGAAAUUUGUUGUUUGAUAUAAUGUUGUGGCCACAACCGAUGCCAUCUAUUUCUUUGUACUGCGACAGUGAAGCUACAUUGUCUAGAGCUUAUAAUAAAGUGUAUAAUGGAAAGUCUAGACAUAUUAGCUUGAGACAUGAAUAUGUGAAACAAUUAAUAGCAGAUGGUGUUAUUAAUAUUGUUUAUGUUAGGACUAAUAAGAACCUAGCAGAUCCUUUAACAAAAGGUCUUUCAAGAGACUUAGUUAAGGAUACAUCUUUUGGAAUGGAAUUGAAACCUUUGCAUAAUAAAGUCACCAACGACGGUAACCCAACUAUGUAGUAGUUGUACCGUUACUCCAUAGUUAAAUGGGUAAUAACAAGUUGUUGUUAUGUGACUGGUUUGGCACCGAGUAAUAAAUAAUCCCAUUCGAGAGUUUCAGUGUAAAUAGCUACGAGGUUGAGGUUGAGUAUUUACUCUUAAUGAAGUUCAAGUCUUAUAGUAGCUAAAGACAUGAUUUGAAACUUCACCUAAGUGAACAUAAGAAAUGGUGCCGUUUCUAACAAGAUAAUGGUUUAAUCUUGUAAAUGUUCAUGAAUCCAAGAUAGAGCACAAGGCCGGAAUAGUGCUAACUAUUGGAACACAAUUUUGAAAUUUGGGAUAGCUUAUAUGUGAUGUAUCUCGGUAUUUACUUAAGAGACAAAGUUUAAUGCUUAGCACACUAUUGUCUUGUAAAUACUUUGAAAUACACUCACUAAUUAAAGGUUAAAAUCGAAAGAUACAUUUUUGUAUACAUAAGUUUAUCAUUAAUAAAUCUGAAAAAAUAUUACAAUCUAGUGGGGAUUGUAAGAGAGAUUGUUACAUUUUUCUUAAUCUUUGGUUUGAUAUUCUAGACAAAAACGGUUUGCCGUUUCUUGAGAAAACGGCUAACCGUUUAAGUCUAGAGAGCAUGUUUUUGUUCUGGGAUAAAACGGCUCACCGUUAUUGAGAAAACGACUAACCGUUUAUUUACAGAGAGCAACGUAUUUGACAUUCUGGAAUAAAACGGCUCACCGUUUAUUGAGAAAACGGUUAACCGUUUAUUUCUAGAAAGGCGUCAACUGGAAAACGGUUAAGCAAGUUUGAAAUUUAAUUGUCAAUCAAUGCAAAUUCAAACCAAAAGAGUGUCUUUGAAGAAGUACCAUUUCGAAUGGUUGUAUUCUUUUAAAUAAACAUCUUCUUCAUUAAAAGAAAGAUAUACAAUUAGAUUUAUAAUGAGUUUUUACAGAUUUCAUAUAAGUUCUGGAAAUACAAUCUUAUUUGCUAAAGAUUGUAUUCAGGAUUUGAUAUAUCUUGGGGGUAAUUUGCCAUUAAAACUCUAUAGCAAAUCAAGAUUGGUGAGGGCAAAUAAAACCUUAAAGGAAAGUGUGCAAACACGUCUCAAAUUCUAAGAAAUUGUCUCUAUUCUUUGCCUCCAUAUUAUUAAAUUCACCAACAUUGCGGCAAGUAUAACAUCUGCUCUGGGGGACAAUGCAGUUGUCCUGCAACCUAUUUCAAGCCAUUAAAUGAAAGACAGCUUGCCCUUGGGUGCUCCCAGAUUACUCCCUUAUCGUGUGAAGCUUCGCAAGAUCAUAGUUUUGUUGAACUCAAUGAUGUCACUUACUUCGCGUUUAGCUCAUUUAGCUCAGACCUUACGAAUACAGAUCCGGAGACAUGCAAACAAGCCUGUUUAAAUAAUUGCUCUUGCAAAGCUGCUCUUUUUCAGCGUGGUUUGAACUCUUCUGCUGGAGAUUGCUACUUACCAUCUGAAAUCUUUUCAAUGAUGAAUAGUGAGAAGGAAAGGACUCAUUAUAACUCAACUGCUUACAUUAAGGUUCAAAACUUGCCAGUGCCGGGUGCAAGUCCUGGAGGAAAGGAGACGAGCCACAGAAAAAGAAUAAUGGGGUUCAUCCUUGGAUCUUUCUUUGGUUUAUUAGUUCUAAUUGGUAUCUUGAUCUUUUUCUUUCGGAAGAAAAAGGGGGCUGAUGAAAUUGAGGAAGAUUGUUUAGAUCAAGUGCCAGGACUACCCAAAAGAUUCUCAUUUGAAGAGUUGAAAGUCAUGACAGACAAUUUCAGAAAGAUACUGGGUAAGGGGGGUUUUGGCUCAGUUUUUGAGGGGACACAAACUGAUGGCACAAAAGUUGCAGUGAAACGUCUUCAAGGAAUUGAUGAAAUCAAUAAAUCUUUCUUAGCAGAGGUGAAGACAAUUGGAAGCAUUCACCAUUACUCAAUUGUUGAGGUUGAUAGGGUUUUGUGCUGAGAAAUCUCAUAACCUUCUUGUUUAUGAAUACAUGCCGAAUGGAUCUCUAGAUAGGUGGCUUUUCCAGAGAUCAGAUGAGUUUAUGCUUGACUGGCAGCAAAGAAAGAAGAUCAUCCUUGAUAUUGCCAAGGGACUAACCUAUCUCCAUGAAGAUUGCAGGCAGAAGAUACUCCACUUGGAUAUCAAGCCCCAAAAUAUUCUGCUAGAUGACAACUUUAAUGCCAAAGUUGCUGAUUUUGGUUUGUCGAAAUUGAUUGACCGGGACCAGAGCCAAGUUGUGACAACCAUGAGAGGAACUCCAGGCUAUUUGGCUCCUGAAUGGCUUAGCUCAGUAAUUACAGAAAAAGUAGAUAUCUAUAGCUUUGGAGUUGUGAUGUUGGAGAUAUUGUGUGGCCGGAAAGUUUUUGACCGCUCUCAGCCUGAGGAGGAAGACAUGUAUUUGCUAAGCAUAUUCAAUAAGAAGGCAGAGGAGGACAAAUUGUCUGAUCUGGUAGAUAAACACAGUAACGAUAUGCAAUCAAAUGAAGAAGAAGUAGUGAAUAUGAUGAAGGUAUCUGCAUGGUGUCUGGAAAGUGAUUUUGUAAAGACACCUUCCAUGUCAAUGGUAGUUAAGGUUUUGGAGGGUGUUACAGAGUUUGAGCAUAACCUCCAUUAUAACUUGGUUCAUCUACCAACUACAGUAGCAUUAACAAACGUUGAUCGUAGAGAAGAAAAUGAUAAACCCAUUACUCAAUUGUUGCCUUCAGUUUUGUCAGGGCCAAGAUGACGGCUAGCAGGUAUACAUACCACUUUUCCAUUCUUGAUUAGCAUUAAUAAUAUUUACCAACAACUUUUGUUUUUGGACUUGAAAAAGAAAUCCAAUUGGGCUUUACCAGCAACUUUCAGCAUCUUUCUUGAAAAAAAUGAAAAGCAAUUGGCCCCAAAUUUUGUAGGGUUAUUCGUGGAUACAAACCGGAAUAAAAGAAACUUCAAAUCUUUGAUAAGAAUGUAAGCUUCAUUAUCGAUUUAUUAUGCAAAGUUUAAAUUCGUGGACCAAUAACUGCAGGAACCUUCUAACGUACGUAUGUGCUAAUUCAGAAAUUCGUGGCAAGUCUCAGUAGUAAUUGAUCUCAAAUUUGCAGUAUCUGGCGAAUCUUAUCAUUGACUGAGCUUUGGCCCUGAUCUUUUCUACUUCUCAAGCAGAUCAGUGGCAGAAACAAGAAGAGGGUGCCUACAACAUUAAACUUUUGCCAAGCAAAAUUGAGCGAAGAAGUCCAAUCUUAUGGGAAGUUAACUCAAGCUUUUUCUAGUGGAUCUUCUGUAAGAUAAAUACUUCCGAAAAAUGGAUGUUCUACAGUGAUUUUGUCAGUCUAUAUUUGUUGUUUAGACGCUGAGAAUGUCUGUCUUUAGACAUUGCGAAUGUAAGUGGGGGAGGCGAAGCAAGCUGCAUUACAUUGAACGCUUUAUUUUGAUUUGUUCAAUGCUUCAAUAUAUAUAUAUAACAUUAUAAUAAUUAUAAUGUUAUUUUUAGUACAUUAUAUUGAUAUAAUAGUUGAAUAGUUGAAUACACAUAUAAAACAACAAAAUGGGUAAAUAAAAAUAAUAAUAAAAGGAUAAUUUAUAUGAUAGGAAAUAAAUUUAUUUAAUAGGGGUAUUAAUGAGAUAGAAUAUUAAAUUUUCAUUUAGAUAAAAGUUAAAAUAUUUAACCAUUUUUUAUUCAGACCUAAACAUCUUAUUAUCAUACACAAGUGAUAAAAAAACAAACAAAUAAAAACAGAAAAAGUCUUAAAAUAAUUAAAAUUUAAACUUGAGACAAAAAUCAAACAAUCCAUUACUCUUUUGUUGUUUUUUUUUUCAUUACUAACAAUUUUCUAGAAUUACCUAGAUCAAAUCUAUUAUAACAUGGUUUAAAUUUCUACUUCCACCGGUAUUAAGGAAAAAAAAAAAAACCUACUCCAUUAAUAUUUGUACAGAAAUGUCUAUCUCUAAAUUCCAUAAUUAAAAAGUGAAAAAAAUACCUUAAAACAAUUAUUUAAGUGGAAGGUGAAUAGAAUUCCAAUUAUAUGAUUAAGGAAAGAGUAAAUUUGAGUUGAACUUGCCCUUAGAAGAUUUGAAGGUUAGGGUUACCAAUGGGGGUAGCCCAUUGGCCUCUUUUAUUACUUUUAAACUGUGGAUGCAUCGAGUCUCUUUCUUGUCGAAGGAUUUGACCAAGGCAAAAACAAAAACAUAACUUGUUAACAUUUUCAUUGCCCUGUUUUUAAAAAUUCAUCUAUGGGCCUUGAGCUUGUGGGCGAGGGAAGGCACAUAGAACGAGACUAGAGGGGUUUGACUUUUUGUUCUAUAAAUACGUUUUCCAAUCAACCAAUUGUUGUAUAAUUGAAUCAUUCUGCAGUAAACCAAACCCUGCAAUCUCCCUUUCAAGUCGUCCUCUUUAUUCCGAAUUGUGCUGCACAUUUUAGGAGAUGAGUGUUAGCUGGAACUGGUGCUCUGUUCUUUUCUUUCUUAUUUUCUCUAUUACGUUUUUUUUCGUGGUUGAUGCCCGAAGCCAAAGUUUUGAUUAUCCGACAGCAAAACUCUCAACUAAAUGGGUAAACAGCCCGUCAACUCCUCAUUCAGUAACUUUCACGGACGGAUCAACGGUGAGAGCCAUCUUUCUCAGGGGAACCUUUGGCCCCAGAUAUGCAUGUGGCUUCUUCUGUAACGGAGCCUGCGACACUUAGGACCUGUUUGGUAUUAUUUUUGAAUCUCUAUUUUUUUAGAAUAAAAACGAAAAUGAAAAUGGUGUUUCGCAGUUACUGUAUUUCGAAUUUAAAUAUGCGUCUGAUAUCAUUUUCUGUAUCUUAUAUUUUAAAACUGAAAACAGUAAUAUGCGUUUGGUAGACACAAUUGAAAAUGAUAAAAACAAAGAAUAUGCGUUUGAUAAUAUUUUUUUCAAAAACAGUUUUUACUAAUCAUUUACAUUAUAUUUAUAGUCAUAAAAUAAUUAUUUAGCUAAUACACACAAAUACAACAAAAUAAUUUAACCAAAUUUAAUAUAAAAAAAAUUAUAUAAUAAUAAAGUUUAAGAAUUAACAUUAAUUAAAAAGAAGUUUGACAUUGUUAUUGUUUUUAUACUAUAUAAUUAAGGAAUGGAAAAGACAAAAAUAACAGUGAUGGGUUAUGCGUGUGGUAGGUGCAGUUAAGAGCUGUGAUUUGACGAAGAAAUGAGUACAGAGGGAAUUGAAUGGUGAGAUGGGCAUAUGCUCUUCUUGCUAACGUCCACCUUCAAAUUACAAAUUUAAAAUCACCCCAAACUUCUUCACAUCCAUUUAUUCUACCUACCACCCUUUCCCCCACUCUCCUUAAAUGUUCUUCUUUUUUGCGCAAUCUGUUGCUUCGUGUGUCACUCUAACUUAAUUUUCCCUAAACCAUAGCCAUCUCCCCCUAUUCAUCUAAAAAAAUUUCGACAAAACAAAAAAGGCACUCACGAUGAUAUAAAUAGCCACUAAAAAACCAGAGCUGUCUCUUGAUAUCUCUUCACCAGCACCACCAGCGCCGUCCAAUGAAAAGAUAGCCACCCAUAUUUUCAAAUCAAAGCUUCCCGAUAUACCCAUCUCCAAUCAUCUCCCUCUCCACACAUAUUUUUUCCAGGAUCGUUUAUCUGACGAUCCAUGCUUAAUCGUUGGCUCAACUGGCAAAACUUACUCUUAUGCCGAAACGCACCUCAUCUGUCGAAAAACCGCAGCCGGUUUGUUGAAUCUCGGCAUCAAAAAGGGCGACGUGAUCAUGAUCCUCCUCCAGAACUGCGCCGAAUUCGUCUUCUCGUUCAUGGGAGCUUCCAUGAUCGGUGCAGUCACGACCACAGCCAAUCCCUUCUACACCUCAGCUGAAAUCUUGAAACAGUUCAGAACCUCUGGCGCCAAAUUGAUUAUCACAAUGUCUCAGUACGUCGACAGGUUGUCGAAGACGGACAAAGAUUUCACAGUGAUCAAUUCUACUCUGCAAUCAAAUUGCCAGUUACAAUUUGAUUAUUUUCUCGUGCAUUUCUUUUUCUUCCUUUUCGCACAAAUCUGUGAAGGAUUUUUUUUUAAAAUUUAGGUUGCAUUAUCAAACUUGGAAAUAGAAUUAUUAUUUUUUGAACACAAAUUAAGAUUUCACAAUCUCUAAAAUAAAUGAGGAAAAAUUUCAGCUCAUAAAUAAACAAUUUGUCACUACAUAUGAACAACCUCAUAAAUUUCCAAAAUUAAAAAUCACUCAAAUCAUCUCUAAAAAUUUUCAGCUCAUAAACAAAAUAAAUACCGACAAGUGACAACGAAGUAGUAGUAGACGAAGAUCCGAGAGAGCAAAGACGAAGUAGCAGUAGACGAAGAUCCGAGAGAGCAAAGACGAAGUAGCAGCAGCUGGACGGAGUCGGAGCAGCAGCGGUUACGGCGGAGAAAGAGCAGCGGCAGUGGCUAGCACACCAAGAGCGACCAAGAGAGAGAUUUGCUGCAACUGGAUUGAGAAAAUUGAGGAGAAAGAGGGAGCUGCAGUGAACUGGAUUGAGAGUGAGGGCUGCAGUGAAGAGAAAAGUGAGGGCUGCAGAGUCACGAUUUCUUUGUUGUUUUUUAAUUCAUUUUUAGAUUUAGUUUGUAAAAUUUGGAGAACAUGUUUAACUUGUUUUCAGUUGUAUAGUUAUAAUAAUGAAUCCGAAUUUUGUGUUUUGUAAUUUGUUUUGUGAAAAAAAUCCACUAAACAUGUUUUAUGUGUGUAUUAUAAAAAUGAAAACGAAAACAUGGCUUGCAAAACGGUACCAAACGGGCCCUUAUCUAUUUGUUGUUUUCAUUGUUCAAACCAACAGUGCUUCCUCAAUUGUUGCGCCAGCAAUUGGAUUCCCACAGGUCAUCUGGGUUGCUAACUGUAACAAUCCUGUGUUAGGAAAUUGGUGGGUGAAGCAGACACGCAGUUAAAGUAAAAUUGGAAGAAAAUAAAGAACAAGUACAAUAGAGGAUACCAGAAAUUACGUGGUUCGGCUUUUAGCUUACGUCCACGGGCGAAGACAGAAGGAAAAUAUUUCACUAGUGAAAUAAGGAUUACAAGUAUUGUAAUAUUUUGGCUCACUACCUAAAACCCUAAUACACCCAAUCUCUCACUCACUAGACUCACAAGAGCUUUAUAAUUUUAGGCUCUUAAAAUCUCUCAAGCUCUCUCUCCUUGUGAUUCUCUCACAAAUUGAAUGCACAAAUCGAAAUGGGAGCUCUCCCCUUUUAUAGCCAAAAUUGACUAUUAAAAUUAUAUAUAUAUAUAUAUAUAUAUAUAUAUAUAUUCUCACCGCCAUUGAAUGUCAAAGUUUCUUCUCUUUCCUUCUUUAAGAAAUGUUGCUGCCAACUUCUUCUUCUUUUUCUUUGGACGGCACCAAAACCUUCAACAUUUUCUUUGGCCGGCUGUCAAAGCCAACUUUGCUUAUUCAAGGCUUCUAGAUGCUGCAGCCAAUUUUUACUUUCUCCCACUUGGAGAUUAGAUUGAGAAUCAAUCAAUCUCCACACCAUCCUUUCUGCUUCGCCAUUGUUAUGUUGCCUACGUUUCUGCUAGGGCAUAAGAGGAUCUACUCCAGAUAAACUUGUCAGCAUUUAUCGGCUUGGUCAAAACAUCUGCUAGGUUCUCCUUCGUAUGGAUUUUCUGUAAAUCCACACUUCCAUCUUCCACUACUUCUCGAACGAAGUGAUAUUGGACUCCUAUGUGCUUUGUCCUAGAAUGAAAGGUUGGAUUCCUUGCAAUGUGCAAGGCACUCUGACUGUCACAAUACACAGAAAUUUUUUCUUGUUUGUACCCGAGCUCCUCCAAUAACCUUUGUAUCCAAAUAGCUUCCUUGCAAGCUUGUGUAGCUGCCAUGUACUCUGCUUCUGUUGUAGAUAAAGCCACAACGGUCUGCAGUUUCGAAACACAGCUUACAGCUGCUCCUGCAAGUGUAAACACAUAACCAGUAGUAGAUUUCCUUUUAUCAAGGUCUCCUACAAAAUCUGAAUCCACAUAGCCCCCUGACAAUAAACUCUGAUCCUCCAUAACAUAAUGCAACAUCUGAGGUUCCUCUGAUGUAUCUCAGAAUCUUCUUCACGGCUAUCCAAUGUUCUCCACCAGGAUUCGCCAUGUAUCGACUGACUGCUCCCACUGCUUGUGCAAUGUCUGGUCUAGUACAUAUCAUAGCGAACAUUAAACUUCCCACUGUUGAUGCAUACGAUACUCGAGACAUCUUCUUCCUCUCUGCUUCAUUGGUAGGACACAUACUUGAGGAUACUUUGAAAUUAACAGGAAGUGGGGUAGAGAUUGACUUACAAUCUUGCAUGUUGAAGCGCUGCAAGGUUUUCUUCAAGUAAUUCUUGUGUGAAAGCCAAAUCUUCCUGUUAUUUCUGUCUCGGUGAAUUUGUAUCCCUAGAAUCUUGUUUGCUGGUCUCAAGUCAUUCAUUUCAAACUUCCUAACCAAUUGUGUCUUUAAUUCUUGGAUUCGAUCUUUGUUAGGGCCUGCUACCAACAUGUCAUCCACAUAUAACAACAAAAUAAUGAAAUCAUUAUCUUCAAACCUUUUGUAAUAUGCACAAUGGUCUGAACUGAGUCUGUAUCCAAGGCUCAUAAUGAAGGAAUCAAAUCUCUUAUACCAACACCUCGGCGCCUGUUUGAGACCGUAUAGAGAUUUCUUCAACCUGCAAACCAAGUUUUCCUUUCUGUUUCUGCAAAACCUUCUGGUUGGAGCAUAUAUAUUUCUUCUUCAAGUUCUCCAUGAAGAAAUGCAGUUUUCACAUAUAACUGCUCAAGAUGUAAGUCAAAUGUAGCACACAUCGCCAAGACUACUCUGACUGUCGUGAGUCGAACCACCAGCGAAAAUAUCUCGUUGAAGUCAAUACAUUCUUUCUGAGCAUAUCCUUUCACCACCAAUCUCGCACGAUACCGCUCCACUUGGUCAUUGCCAUCACGUUUGAUCUUGUAGACCUAUUUGUUUCCAAUGGCUUUUCUUCCACGUGGUAGUGGUACAAGUUCCCAUGUCUUGUUCUUGUGUAGAGCUUCAAUUUCUUCAUGCAUUGCUGUCAUCUACAAAGCAACAUCUGAGCUUUCUAAAGCUUCAUGGAAAGUUGAUGGCUUUUUAUCCUCUGUUAGAAGAUAGUACGCAACGUUGAUAUCUGUGACAUACUCCAAGUGCCACAUUGGCGAUCGUCUCUCACGAGUUGACCGACAAAUUUCUGGAUCCUCGGACUGGACUGGUUCUUGUUCCUCGUGCUUUAGUGCUGCUUUAGAAGAAUCUGAAUCUUCUGGAUUAUUUUCCACAUAUAGCGGCACAGUCUCUGACUUUUCUUUUGCAGUGUUAUUAUCCUCAUCCCUUCUUUGCAGUUGAUCUUCUAUAAAGAUAACAUCUUUGCUGAUGACGAUCUUGUGGGCAGUGAGGUCCCACAGACGAUACCAUUUUAUUCCAUCAGCAUACCCCAAAAAGAUACAUCUUCUAGAUUUUGCAUCCAGCUUUGUUCUUUGUUGGGCAUUGUACAUCACGUACACAUGACAUUCAAAUGCAUGUACGUAGGAAUAAUCAGCUGGUUUUUUAGUCCACAUCUCCAUCGCCGUCUUCAACCCAAUAGCUAUAGAUGGCGACCGAUUUACUAUAUAACAUGCAGUUUUGGCUGCUUCUGCCCAGAAUAAAUUAGGUAGACCAGCAGUUCUCAACAUAGCUCUUAUCCGUUCUGUAAGAGUUCUAUUCAUCCGCUCUGCCACUCCAUUUUGUUGAGGAGUGUGUGCCACCGUGAACUGCCUUUGAAUACAUUCUUGCUUACAGAAAGCAAGAAACUCGCUGUCUGUAUACUCUCCACCAUUAUCUAUCCUCAAGCACUUGAUCUUUAUACCAUAUUCAAGUUCCACCCGCGCUUUGUAUUCUUUAAACACUGAAAAUACAUCUGACUUUUUCUUAAUUGGAUAUACCCAACAUCUUCUGGAAUAAUCAUCAAUGAAAGUCACUAUGUACUUUGCACCUCCCAUGGAUAUAUCCGGUGAUUCUCAAACAUCAGAAUGAAUCAAGUCUAGAAUGCAUUUACUUCUAGCAAUAGAUCUACUAAAUUUUAAUAUAUGCUGCUUACUUGUAACACAAUACUCGCAAAAUGGUAAACUUACCGAUUUGAGCCCUAGAAGUAAUUUUCGCUCAUAGAGAAUCUUCAAACCUUGUUCCGACAUGUGGCCAAGUUUGAGAUGCCACAUCAUCGUUGACUCUUCUCCAUUUGAUGCGACACACGCAUCAGCCUCCUGUAGUGUUUCUCCUUUAAGCAUGAAUAAAUUAGCACCGAUCUUUUCUGCCUUCAUCAAUACAAGCGCUCAUUUAACAAUCUUCAUAAUUCCAUUCUCCAUAUGAGUUUUGUACCCAUGACUAUCCAUUUGUCCCAAAGACAAUAGAUUUUUCUUCAGACCGUUGACAUGUCGUACCUCCCCAAUUGUGUAAAUUGUACCAUCAAAUUUUUUUAUUUUGAUAGUACCAAUACCAGUGAUCUCCAAGGCAUGAUCAUCUCCCAUAUAUACAGAUCCUCCUGAGAUAGGUUCAUAUGUGUGGAACCAUUCUCUCCGAGAGGUCAUGUGCUAGGUAGCUCCUGAGUCUAUAAGCCAAACAUCAAAUAGUCGUUUUCUGCCUUCUGAAAUAGUUGUUGCCUCGCUGUAGAGAAUUUCACCAUCAUAUGAGGUACUUGCUACACACCCCUGAGCAUUUGAUGACUCAGGUUCUUUGCCCUCUCUUCUCUUCUGGUUACUCCAACACUCUUUCUUGACAUGCCCUUUCUUGCCACUGUUGUAGCAUUUAACAUUCUUUUUACUUCUGGAUUUUGAUCUACCAUGAUUUUGACUCCCACUGGGGCCACGUUCCGUUGAUUUCCCUCUCGUCACCGAUAGCGCCUCCGCUUGCUGCGAACUUGCUUGCCUGUUUUUCUUAUUUUUCCGCCUGCUCUCCUCAUUUAAUACGGAGGCUGCAACAUCGUCGAAAACUAGAUUGUCCACUGGAUUGUUGUUCGUCAGGUUGAUAAUGAGCUGAUCAUAUGAAUCUGGUAGACUUUGAAGUAGAAGCUCUGCAUGUUCAUUCUCCUCUAUAUUAUGACCCAACGUUGUGAGUUGUGAAAAUAGAGUCUUCAAGGUGUUGAUGUGGUCAGUCACCAUUGUAGAUUCCACGAUUCAAAGAGUAUAGAGUUUCCUCUUCAAGAAGAUUUUGUUGUGUAGUGACUUGGCCUCGUACAAUUUUGUAAGAGUAUCCCAAAUUUCCUUCGCUGUAUUUUUCUCUGCCACAUUGGAUAAUACUCCGUCUGCAAGUGCCAAGUGUAGAUAAAAAAUGGCGUUGCCAUCUAUCUCGUUCCACUUGUCAUCAGUUAUCUCCAUGGGCCUUUCUCCAAUUGCUGCCAAGCAAUUAUUUUUCCUCAAUACAGCUUUCAUCUUCAUUUUCCACACCGAAAAAUUAUUUCCGUUAAAUUUCUCAAUUUCAUACUUUGCCGCUAUUUUGUUGAUAAAUAUUGUACACAAGCUAGUAUACCACCUUGAAUAGUUGUGAGUAUGUGUAAGAAUGCACACCAGGAAAGUUCAUAGGAAAGACUGGAGGGGUCAUAAUGGUCCCACUUAAAACUCAGACUCCUUAAGCUCUUAUCGCAUUUGUGACAGAACUUUCCUAGACAUGUACAAAACCACACAGUUGCUUUACUCACACCACUAUUCCUUACUUUGCACCGCCAAAUUCUUGGAUCGCUCCCACCGUUUCUUAUAAAUAGUACCGUAUACGUGAACAGUACCGUAUACGUGAACAAUACUGUAUACGUGAACAAUGUCGUAUACGUGAAUAGUACCCCUUACGUGAACAGUACCCGACUCCAAAAAUACAACCAAUAGCUCUGAUACCACUGUUAGAAAAUUGGUGGGUGAAACAGACACGCAGCUAAAGUAAAAUUGGAAGAAAAUAAAGAACAAGCACAAUAGAGGAUACCAGAAAUUACGUGGUUCGGCUUUUAGCCUACAUCUACGGGCGAAGACAGAAGGAAAAUAUUUCACUAGUGAAAUAAGGAUUACAAGUAUUGUAAUAUUUUGGCUCACUACCUAAAACCCCAAUACACACAAUCUCUCACUCACUAGACUCACAAGAGCUUUAUAAUUUUAGGCUCUUAAAAUCUCUCAAGCUCUCUCUCCUUGUUAUUCUCUCACAAAUUGAAUGCACAAAUCGAAAUGGGAGCUCUCCCCUUUUAUAGCCAAAAUUGGUUAUUAAAAUAAUAUAUAUAUAUAUAUAUAUUAUAUAUAGCCAAAACAGAAAGAGAAUGAACAUUCUCCUCCAACUUCUCCUACGUUUUCGUCUGUCACAGAAAAUGUUAUUAAUGUCAUUGAAAAAAAUUUUGAAAUAGAUAAAAUUCUUCUUCAUAAAUAUUUUUAUUCAGAUAUUAAUAAAGAAAAAAGACUUUGGUUUUUCAAACAUUUCUUAAACCAAAGAAAAGAAAUCCAACAAGUUUAUUAUGAAUUUGUAAACUUGCAUAAAGUUCACAUAUUAUUUUUUGAUUGGUUUGAGAUGUAUGCCUCUGAUAAUAACAUUGAUUAUCCUUUCAAAGAAUCAAAUCUCAUUACUAUUAGAAAGAAAACCCCUGAAUGGAACCUUUCUGAUAGUGAUAGAACUAUAGAAUCUGAACAUCCACCUCUUAAGAGUGUGACCAUUAACCAUAGUAUGCCUCCUAUAGAAAUCAAAGCCUCACCUUAUAAAAUCCAUAAACCAAAUGAUCUAAAGACAAAUUUAGGCAGAAUUAUCCAACAGAAUAAUUUUUGUAAUGCUAACCUAAAUACGAUAGGAAAACAGUUGACUAUAAUAGAAAACCAAUUCCAGAAGUCAACCAUAGCUGUUUCUCCUGUUACAUCAAAAUCGGAUUCUGACAAAAAGCUUAAAGAGCUUAUUUUCAAACCUUUCUAGGUGUCGAAAACUAGUCAAAAGCUUGUCCAAGAGUCAAAAUCAGAUUUUGCUAAAGCCAUAAGAGAACAAAUAGAUAGAAUAGAAGCGUCUUCUUCUUCAUCUAGUAAGGUCCAAAUAGCCACUGAUAGUGCCCAAUCUAGUAAGAUUGGUGUACUAGAACAAGACAACAUGUCUAUAGCCUCUUUCGACAUAUAAGCCUUUAAAGAAGAACCUAUUUCUAAAGCCAACAAAAUCCAUUGGGAAUUAGCCCUACCUACGGUCAAGUCUCCACCUGACUUAGCCUUAGACAAUAGACCUAGUGCACUAAACCAAUCACGGUUUAAUGCAUCAUCUGUCUAUGAGUGGAAUAUUGAUGGUAUGUCUGAGUAUAACAUUCUAGGAUUGUUGCAACAGAUGACCAUGGCAAUCAAUGCAUAUAAAACUCAGUCGGGAACUUCUAACAAAGCCAUUGCAGAAAUUCUCAUUGCUGGUUUUACAGGUCAACUUAAAGGUUGGUGGGAUCAUCUUCUCACCAAACAACAACAAUUAGAUAUCAUCAAUUCAAUUCAAACAGAUGAGAAUAGAGCACCCAUCUUAGACGAAUUGAAUGAUCCAAUUCAGGAUGCAGUUGCUACCCUGAUUCUUACAAUUUCCCUACAUUUUAUAGGUGACCCAUAUCACCUCAGGGAUAAAAAUACUGAGUUACUACAUAAUUUAAGAUGUAGGAAACUUAGUGAAUUCCAAAGCUAUAAAACCACAUUCUUUACCAGACUUUUCCUUAAGGAUGAUGCAAAUCAUAUAACUUGGAAGGAAAAAUUCCUUACAGGUUUACCUACCCUAUUAGGAGAAAAUGUUAGGAAUUCUAUUAAAGCCCUCUAUGACAAUCGUAUUCCUUAUGAUGAGCUUACCUACGGUGAACUUGUCAGUUUUGUUAACAAAGAAGGUUUAAAGAUUUGUCAAGACUUGAAACUUCAGAAACGACUAAAAUGGAAGCUUAGAAAAUCUAAGCAAGAAUUAGGCAGUUUCUGUAAGCAAUUCAAUUAUGACCCCUUUAAAACUUCCACCUCUAAAGACUGUAAUGGUAAGUGUUCUUCAAAACCUUACUAGAAACAUUACAAGUCUAAAAGUCAUAAAAAAUCCUUUCAAGAUUUUAGAGAACUGUCUUAUAAGAGACCCUCAAGGCCUUAUAAGAAGCUCAGCUUCUCUAAGAAGAAGGAUUUUAGACCCAAACAAAAAACCCCUUUUAACUACAAAGAAGCCACAUGUUACAAAUGUGGAAAGAAAUGCCAUACUGCAAAGUUUUGCAGGAUGAACAAAAGGCUCCAUGAGCUUGGCCUUGAAGAAGAACUACUUUCCAAAAUUGCCCCUUUGCUUGUAGAAUCUUCUGAUUCUGAGUCUUCCAUGACAGGAGACAGUGAGCCUCUGCAGGUUGAUGAGUUAAUUGACUUAAAUACAUCUGUAUCUAGUGAUAGUGAUUCUGAUACAUAAUCCUAUCUAAAGAAAAUCAAUGUGUUGACCAAAGACCAAGAAACUUUCCUUGAAUUAGUCAGACACAUUACUGAUCCUACUCUUCAAAAAGAAUACCUUGAUAAACUUCUAAAAACUUUAGAAGUAAAUAAAGCAGAAACUUCUAAAGCCUCAAUCAUUAAAAUGAAUACUUAUGAUCUCACUGAAAUCCUGGAUAAGAAGAAAACAACUCUUAAUAUCCAAGAUCUUCAGAAAGAAAUAAAAGAUAUUAAACUGGAGAUAAAAGAGUUAAAAGAAAAACAAAAGAAUGAUUCAGAUAUUAUCCAACUCCUCUUACAAAGACAAUUACAAGAUAAUUCUAAUAAAGAACCAGAAUCUGAUGGUGAUAAUAAAGAACAAAAUCUUGACAACAUUGAAUCUGUACCCAAUGAUUUUUUGUUUGUUUUAAAGCAAAUCACCACAAGAAAAUAUUUAAUCAAAAUUACUUUGAUUUUCUUUAAAGAUUUUGAAAUAGACACCAUUGCCCUUUUUGACACUGGUGCUAAUUUAAAUUGUAUUAAAGAAGACAUUGUCCCCAGAAGGUUUCAUGAGAAAACUAAAGAAAGACUUUCUGCCGCCAAUAAUUCAAAACUUAAUGUCAAAUCUAAAGUGGACGCCUCUAUUCAUAACAAUGGUUUUGAAUUUAGGACUUCUUUUAUUCUUACAAAUGACAUACACCAUACUAUCAUUCUAGGAACCCCUUUUAUAAAUCUUAUCACUCCUUAUACUGUAAAUUAUGAUAGUAUAUCUUUUAAAGGAAAAACUAAAAAACUUAUUUUUCUUUUUAUUGAAAAGCCUAAAACCAGAAGUUUGAAUAUUGUUAAAGCAUGUUCUGUUUACCAUAACCAAAUCAAUACCCUUCUCAAAUCUAAACAAAGUGACUUAGUUUGUUUAAAAAGAGAUUUGAAUCUACAAAGAAUUGAAAACUAAUUACAAAAUGAAUUUGUAAAAACAAAGAUCUCUAAUUUUAAAGACCUCAUUGAAAAAGAAAUAUGUGCUGAUCUACCAUCUGCUUUUUGGAAUAGAAAACAACAUUUGGUUGAUUUGCCUUAUGAAAAUUCUUUUGAUGAAAAGCAAAUACCUGCCAAAGCCCGUCCAAUCCAAAUGAACAUGGAAUUAGAGCAACAUUGCAAAGAUGAAAUAAAAGAUUUAAAAUAUAAAGGUCUCAUAGUCAAGUCUCGGUCUCCUUGGUCUUGUGCUGCUUUCUAUGUCAAUAAGAAUUCUGAAAUAGAAAGAAGGACACCCAGACUAGUCAUAAAUUACAAACCCUUAAUAAAGCACUAAAAUGGAUUAGGUAUCCCAUACCUAAUAAAAAGGAUUUGCUCCAGAAACUACAUGCUUCAUUCAUUUUUUCAAAAUUUGACAUCAAAUCUGGAUUUUGGCAAAUUCAAAUUCACCCUAAAGACCGUUAUAAAACUACUUUUACUGUUCCCUUUAGACAGUAUGAAUGGACUGUUAUGCCAUUCGGUUUAAAAAAUGCACCUUCAGAAUUUCAAAGAAUUAUGAAUGACAUUUAUAAUCCUUUCUCUGAAUUUUGCAUUGUCUAUAUAGAUGAUGUGUUGAUUUUCUCCCAAACCAUCGAUCAACAUUUCAAACAUCUAAAGACAUUUUUCCUUGCCACUAGGAAGGCUGGUUUAGUCAUUUCUAGUUCUAAAGUUUCUUUAUUCCAAACAAAGAUCAGGUUCCUCGGUCAUUACAUUUCCAAAGGAACCAUUACACCAAUUGAAAGAUCUCUUUUAUUUGCUGAUAAAUUUCCUGAUAAAAUCCUUGAUAAAACCCAAUUGCAACGAUUUUUAGGAAGUUUGAAUUAUGUCCUUGACUUCUGUCCUAACAUCAAUAGGUUAUCAAAACCUUUGCAUGAUAGAUUAAAGAAAAACAUGUUACAUGGACUGAAGAACACACUAAAGUUGUUAAGCAGAUAAAAAGUUCUGUUAAAGCUAUUCCAUGUUUAUUUCUUGCUAAUCCUGCAUUACCUAAAAUCGUUGAAACUGAUGCAUCGGACUUAGGUUAUGGAGGAAUCUUAAAGUAAAAAGAUAAUAAUAAAGAACAAAUAGUACAAUAUGUUUCUGCACAUUGGAAUGAAUGUCAAAGAAACUACUCUACUAUUAAAAAAGAAAUUCUUUCUAUUGUCCUAUGCAUCUCUAAAUUCCAAAGUGAUUUAUUAAAUCAAAAUUUUUUACUUAGAAUUGAUUGCAAAGAUGCAAAACAUGUUUUAGAAAAGGAUGUUCAAAAUAUUGCAUCAAAACAUAUUUUUGCACGAUGGCAAGCUAUUUUAAGUGUUUUUGAUUUUGACAUUGAAUUCAUUAAAAGCGAUACAAAUUCUAUCCCUGAUUUUCUAACCAGGGAAUUUCUUCAAAACAGAUAAUGCCGCCGCUGAUCUUCUAUAUCAGAAUCCUGCCAUAAAACCUGAUACAAUUCCUCUAAGGCAAAGAGACCGGAUCUCUGUCCUUAGUUGUACUUUCUCUUCUCCCUCCAUUCAAUCAGAAUACUAGUUCUGGGAUCCAGAUCUAGUAUUAUCUUUCAGCCUUUGUUUGUAACGGUAUAUCGGCUGGAAAACAGAACAUGCGGGAUAUUGAUCUGUUCUAAGUCAGAUCUGGUCCCAAAGGCAGAUUAAGUUCUGUAUUGAUCUAGAGACAAGGGGAAAGGGAUUCUCAAAGACCCAGAGCCCCAAACAGAACCUAAAGCCACCCCUACUAAAGAAAAACUCUUAUCCUCUGUUAUGCCUAUUAAGUCCUGGAUGGACAUGGUUGAGGAACAAGAAGCACAAUCUAAAGCCAUUACCUCUCAAGAACAGGUAAAAGAAUGGAUGAAUUCCAUUUCAAAGUCCCCUGAGCUUAUGCUCGCUUUACAAAGUAUUUCCCAAAACAAAGCUCUUUCUCCAGUUCCUGAGGAAGAAAAAUCUGUUUCUAAAAUAGUUUCAAAGCCUUCUUUUUCUAAAGAAGUUGUUUCAUGUGAAAGCUCUUCUUCAAUCAUAGUUUCUCAAUCAAAGCUUUCACAAAAAUCUUCGGAUUGGUUUCAUAAAACUCAUCAUCAAAAUGUUUUAUCUAUGGAAGAUGAAUUUUAUCACUCUGAUCCAUUUCAAGCCAUUUCAAAGAUUUUCCCAAAAGGCUGGUUUUUCAAACCUUAGGAUUUAUCAAAACCCCAGUCUUUCUACCAAAGCAUUUUGGAAAUCACUGAGUCUGUAAAGUUCAAACAUUUCUUCCUCAGUGAAUCCCACAUUGAGCCAGCCUAUUCAACGGCUACUAUCCUUAAAGUUUUGAGCCCAAAACAGUGGGGUGAUGAACUUCACAAACCAACACUGAAGACUUAGAUCUUGAGGCGAGGAGCUGCUUCAUUACUUUAAAAUAUUCAUCUUCAUUCUUUGCACUGGCCAAAAGAGAUUGGGCCUUAGAUUUUUUAGUAAGGAAAGUACACUGAGCUUUAACAUCUUUGAUAUUUGGCUCAAUGAGGCCUUUUGAGGAAAGCCAUGCUCGAACUGUGGCUUCAGACAGUUUUGACUUUUCAUCGAAUUUAGACCACCAUUUAACUUUAAAGGUUCUUUGUAAAAUGAAUUGGGCUUCGAUUGUGUGGUAUUGAAAAUUCCACAUCCAGACCCAAGGAAUGAAGAAAUUUGUACAGAAGCAGAGAAAAUGAGGAAACCUCUUCUCGGACUCAGAAGGAAUAUAAUGGGCUUUGAAAAGAUUUAAACAGAAAGUGGCAUUUGGAGUGAGUAUUUCUGGGCAGGGCCCAAAAUAGUUCCACCACUGUUUGAACCAAUUUAGAAGGCUUUGGACGGUUAUCUUCGAAUUGAAGAAGUAUAACCAUGAAUGGGUCUUUUUAGGGUUUUGUAUGAAGAAAGUGUUAAACCAGGCCUGUUGAUAGUCCCAGUAAGAGAAAAAUAAACAGUGCUUUAUCUUUUAUACAUGAAAAAAAAAAGUAAUUAUCAUUUGAAAUUUCAGUAAUUUCCUUGUAAUUAUCGCUUGUACUCAUUUUCCCUGAACUUCUCAUUUGUAAUAAUUUCCCUGUAUUUAUUAUUUUCAAAAUUUUGUCUUCCUCUACUCACUACCCUUUGCGGGAAAAAUUGUGAAGGUAAAUUUUUAAAGUUAUCUGAAAUUUUAUCUUCAUCUACUCACUACCCUUUGCGGGAAAAAUUGUGAAGAUAAAUUUUCACAACUUCCUGGCCCACUCAAAAGUUAAAGACAAAGACCAAAUGAUGCUGUCUCCCACGAUUUAAAAGCAAGUACUGUUGUUGGGCCCCUUUCUCCACCAUCACUUGUAAAGGUUGCGAUUUAUGUGCGUCUACAGCACCAAAAGAAGAAAAAGCCAAAAGCCCCGUGAUGACACCUGGGAUUCGCGGAUCUUGCCUCAAGUCUUCCAGCCUAUUUACUCUCCUCUCUCUCAGAAGGAAGACAAAAUUUUUUGGAGAAGCAAGAAUUCUCUCUACGAGAAAUCAAGCAAGACUUCAAGGAAAAUUUUCCUGUCUUGUAAUCUUUUCCAUUUCUCCAAUUGUAAAGCAAUAUUGUAAACAUUAUCUUUCUUUAUUUUCUUUCUUUCUACAAGGCUCUCGGGAUAAAAGCAAACUUGUAAGAUCUCUAUGUAAUCUAUUUCUUGUAAUUAAAUUAUUCACCGUCAUUGAAUGUCAAAGUUUAUUCUCUUUCCUUCUUCAAGAAAUUAUGCUGCCAACUUCUUCUUCUUUUUCUUUGGACGGCACCAAAACCUUCAACAUUUUCUUUGGCCGGCUGUCAAAGCCAACUUUGCUUAUUCAAGGCUUCUAGAUGCUGCAGCCAAUUUUUACAUCCUGUUCGAAUAAAUGCAACCUUAGAACUCACGUCACGUGGGAACUUGGUUUUACGAGAUGCCAACGGAACUGUAGCUUGGUCGACGAAUACUAAUGGUAAAUCUGUUGUGGGCUUAAACUUGACAGACACGAGCAACCUUGUACUUUUCAACAAGAAAAAUGUAGCAGUUUAGCAGUUUGGCAAUCUUUCGAUCAUCCGACAGACUCGUUAGUUCCUGGGCAAAAAUUGGUGGAAGGGAAGAAACUUACAGCUAGUGUUUCAACCACGAAUUGGAUGGAUGGGAGUUUGUUUUCACUUUCUGUCACUAAGAAAGGAUUGUUUGCUUCCAUAGAGUCUAAUAAUACUCUAGUGUCAUACUAUGAAUAUAGAGUCGGUGGCACGAAAACAAGAAAGCUACCAAGCUAUGUUAGAUAUCUCAAUGGAAGCUUAGCUUUAUUCAUAAAUUUAUCGGAACCAAGCGAGCCAGAAGGGGCACUUUCUGUUCCUCCCGCAUCAUCAUUACCGGGACAGUACAUGAGAUUGUGGCCUGAUGAACAUUUAAGAGUUUACGAGUGGCAAGCAUCGAAAGGGUGGACACAAGUGGCGGAUCUCUUGACAGGUUAUUCUGGGGAAUGCGGUUAUCCUAUGGUUUGCGGCAAGUACGACAUCUGCUCCGGCGGGCAAUGCAGUUGUCCUUCAACCUAUUUCAAGCCAAUAAAGGAUAGACAGCCUGCCCUUGGUUGCUCCCUGAUUACUCCAUUGCCAUGUGAAGCUUCCCAAAAUCAUAGUUUUGUCGAACUUAAUGAUAUCACUUACUUCACUUUUAGCUCAGACCUUACGAAUACAAAUUCGGAGACGUGUAAACAAGCUUGUUUAAAUAAUUGCUCGUGCAAAGCUGCUCUAUUUCGGUAUGGUUGGAACCCUUCUUCUGGAGAGUGCUCCUUGUUGUCUGAAAUCUUUUCGAUGAUUGAUAAUGACAAGGAAAAGACUCAUUAUAACUCAACUGCUUACAUUAAGGUUCAGAACUUGGCAACGCUAAAGUGAGGAAAUAAGGCUAGUCAUGAUAGGGCCGGCUCUAGAGUAUCUCCGAAGCCUCAAGUGAAAUAUUUAAUUAAUUAAUGCAUUUUGUACUUGCUGUUGAAAUAAAUUACCUGUAAAUUUGUAAUAUUCAUUUUUUAUGUCACAUUUUUUAUCGUUUCUUCUAGACGCGCAAAAUGCGUGAAUUUUAAAUUUAUUUUUCAAAAGAAAUAAAUGUAACGGAUUUUGUAAUUGAGAUGCAAACAAUUUUUAUAUUGUUUUCAUUCUCAUCAUAUCAGCAUAUAACGAACAAUCUUAUUUUUUUUUUAAAACAAGUAUGAAUGAAUUAAAGAAAUAAGUAGAAUUAGUGUUUGGGGUAUAUAACGACGCGACUAGCUGCACUCGAACAAGGACUUCUUUCUUGUGAGCGAGAAGCUAUAUAGCAUCCAUGAGCAGGAGUUUUCUGAUUGACACUGAGGAGAGCUUCUGUUGGGGUCGAGGCAUGAGCAUAAGUUUUCUGCUAGAUACCGAGGCAAUUUUCUGAUGGGGCCAAGGCCAAAGACCUAGUCAAUGGCAGUUGUCAGAACGUGUGCUACUUUCCAAAAAUCCAAGAACGAGACCCACUCAGCCACAAUCACAAUGCUCGAGCAUCCACGAUCGGGGAUUAGGUAAAGUGGCGAACAUGGGUCGUGGAGACCGAAUUCCCAGGAGAGCUAUAAAAAGGGUCUCCAACGAAGGUAAAUGGGUUGGAUUUUUUUAGAUUGAACAUAUUAAGAAGAAAAUUCAUUUUAAUCUUUUCUCUAGGUUCUUGGUAGGGAGAAUUCUUGGGAUUUUAAAGGAUAAACGUUAUGGUGAAAAAGCCACGAGACCAGUGGCAACGUUUUUCCAAAAUAAGCCCAGAUUGCUGACUUGAGCGGCGGAGGGUUUACGCUGGGAAAAUCCUGACGUUCUCUGAUUGGUUUUUGUGCGUGUAGGAGUUUGCAGAGGAGAAGCAGCGAGCCUUAAAGUCUUGCUCAUUAAAAAUGAGUAGCAUGAAGUUAUCCCUGACCAACUACAAAUUGAAGUGUUGAGGAGAGAUUCUAAUCGCGACCGAGUAGACCCAAAAUAUUGUAUCAACAUUUUGACGUUGUCUGUGGGGAGCUAAACAAAAUGAUACCAUUAAUGGAAAGAAGGAAAUGAAGGAAGAAGGGGGUGAUUAUGGAUGUAGGGGGGAGUAGUGCUUAAGGGGGGAGGCAGGGCUCAGUGAGUUCGUGAAACUAAGUGAGAUAGCGAAUGAAGCAUGAGAGAGGGCAAUGCAUGAGCGGAUGAAGUGGAUGGAGAAACAAAUGUAGACUUUAAUAACCAUCUUGCACGAGCUAAGAAAUGAGUAGAGAGGAAUUCGCGUAGGAGGAAUGAGAAGCGACAGAAUUAUACCAAGGCCUUUUAAUAGAAGGAGCCAUGAUGAAGAGACCGCCGCGAUGAGAGGCCAAACUACCGGGAGGUUUGGUGAUGGUGCCGGUGACCAAUCGUUAAGGGGGGAAGUCAUAAAGUAGGGGAUCAACCUCAGGGCAGGUGUUGGUAUAAAUUUAAAUAUUAUUGAUGUCAAUGUACAAGUGUACACAACAAGUAAUAUAAUGAUGAGUAUUCAAGAUCUUCUCUACAGGAAUUGAUGUUAUCAGACUUGCUACAGCAAUCUUAAUAAUGUAGAUUUUGUUCUAAAUUAAAAUAAAAUAAUUAAUGAAACUAACAUACUAAUUAAAAUAAAAACGCAAUAAGUAAAAUGCAGCAAAAUAAAUUAUCACGUACCAAUGGGAAUAUAAAGUAGUUGAUUGAAUAAACUUUUUUAAUGGUUUUGACUAUUUUUUUAAUGUUUGGCUCGGUUACUACAGCACUGGGCAGAAUCAUUAUGUAUCCACAAUUAUCGCAUGUUGGAUAUCUUAAAUCUAUAUGCAACCUAAUAGUGAUAAGUUGUUUUGUCAAUAAAAGAUAUAUCAUUACACGGUUAGGUUUUAAUUACCCUACAAGGUGAAUCCCUAUGUCUAGUUCAUCAUUAAUUUUAGAUUAAGUAUGGCCCUUUUGGAAUCAAGUUGAAUUCAAUCCAGGAAACUCAAUCUAAAAUCAAGUAUUACUCUGAUAUGUUCUACUAAGAUAGGUCAUUUUGUGGCUCUUUCUUAGCUAAUAUCAUUAAAUGGGUGACCAGCUGAAAUAAUGAAUAGAAAUAAAUACUAUCAAAACAAAAUACUAUAGUAAAUAUGCAGUAACACAUAUAUUCAGUCAAUAAACCAUGAAGAUUGUUUAUCACUCAACCACAAAUAAAUUUAGUUCACGGUUUGUAAAAAAAUAAAAAUAAAAAACAAAAUUCCAGUCAUCAAACACAUCCUCAUGAUUAAAAAGUAAAUAAGAAAACAAGAGAAAAAUAAGAAAGACUGAGUUCCUGAUUAAUUUCUGUAAAUUCUCCUCUUGUCCAGCCUUCAAUCUCUCUCUUGAAUUCUAUUUUUCUUUUGUUUCUUUGUGGUUUUUCUCUUUGGGUGACGGCUCUCCCUUUUCCUUAUGAUGUGUGCUCCUUUUAUAGUUGAAAAUUAGGAUAAACGGAAAUAUAGGGCGUGUAUCUUCUAGAUUAGGAAACUGUAGAUCACAAUAUUCUGAGUAUCUCGCGCAAAAUUUUCUAUGUUGUUGUUCCAGGAUUGCCAUAGCAACGACUCCAGCAAUUGCACUGUUCCAGAUUUGUUUCAAUUUUUUUGUAAUCGAGUUAUUUUUCAUCUUUUGCAAGCCUAUUGCAACAACAUACCUUCCUUAAAAUUUGAGUUUUUAAUCACUUACAAUUAUACACACAAUCUAAGCACACAAAAUUAUUGUAAAACAACACAAUUUAUUAAAAAUAAACUAAAAUGAUUAUUCAUGCAAAAUAAAACUAAAAUACAAUAUAAAAAACGUCAUUUACUCUCUAAAUAAUAAUGAUUUACUUUAGAUAAUGAUGAUACAUAGAAAUGCUGUACCUUUUCUUAUGAGCUUAAGCUUUGGAAUUAAUAGUUUUUUAAUAUGGUGUCAUUCUGCUUUUUUCUCUAAGGUAGCCGGCACUUAUUGACGAACAAAUUUUGCUCUUGGUAAAAGGCUUGAGUCUCUGGUGAACAAACUUAUACAUUACAUUUCUUUCCUAGAUGCUUUGCCUUAGUUUUUAUACCAUUAUUUCUAAUCAAUCACUAAGAAGUGUUUUCUUUAUUUUUUGUUUUUAGGUCUUAAAAAUCCACUUACCUUGAUGAGCUAUGUGGCACCAAUUAUGGCGCUGGUGACUGCUCUUCUUUGUCUAUUGCUGGAUCCAUGGCAUGAAUUCAAAAGGAAUAAUUAUUUCAAUAACUUAUGGCAUGUCACUUGGAGUUUGUUGCUGAUGCUUUCCGGCGGAGCUUUGGCCUUUUUCAUGGUAAGAAUUGAGCUUGAACAAAAGGAUUGGGAGGAAGAUACAUUUACAUGCUUUUCGUGUAUCAUAUUGAGUACACUUGAUCUGAGUUUCAUGGUCCCCAAAAGAAAUUAACUUUUUUCUCUUGUUACAGGUUUUGACGGAAUUUGUACUUGUCUCGGUAACAAGUGCUGCCAAUGUUCAAAUUGAAGGUGUUGUCAAGGAGGCUGUAACCAUAUUGGUAAAACUUUUCUGUGGUAGUUAGUCUUUCUAGAUUAUUUUGGUAAAAUGUUGGCUGUUGUAUGAGCUUUAUUGUUUGUUCUGUAUUAUUUUCUAGUCGUUACUUUGUGAAAUCCUUUAGUUACAAUACCGUUCUGUUUCAAACAUUAAAUAUUCGAACUCUCCUAUUAGAAAAGAUAAAUACUCUGUUUGUCAUGAGGUUGCAAUUAUUUAUGAUUAUGGCGAUUGUCUUAAAAUAUUUUGCAUGGUCUGAGCCUUCUUUUGUAACUUUUGAUUGUGAUCUACAAUUAUAUUUAGAUUUAAUUUUGUUUGAGGAUGCUUGAUGCACCUAUAAGUGUAAGAAUCGCGCUUUGAUUGUUUUACUAGUUUUAUUGUCACAGUGUAGCUAUCUCCUGCAUAGACAGACCCUGUGCUUUGAUUGUUUUACUAGUUUUAUUGUCACAAUGUAGCUGUCUCCUGCAUAGACAGACACUGUAUAGAAUUAAACCCUAGUCUUAUGUUUUCUUGUUUAGUUUUUUCCUUUGGUUAAUUAUUUUAUUAAUAAUUACAAAUAUAAAAAACAUGAAUGGCUACACAGUUUAAAGACUCUCAAAGGAUUCUACUUCCAUAUGUGAAUGUACAGGUUGCAAUCUUUUACUUCCAUGAUGAGUUCACUUGGCUGAGGGGGUUUGGUCUCUUCACAAUCCUGGUCGGUGUCAGUUUAUUCAAUUGGUACAAGUAAGUCAUUAGUUAUUGUAGUUUUGAACUAUCAUUGCAUGUUUCUUCUCUUUUUCCUUUCCCCCCUUUUGUUGUUGUCCUUUUAAAAAAAAAAAAAAAAAACUAUUAUUUGGCUGUUAGAUUAUUGCUUAGUGUGUAGUGGCCAAAUAUGGAUUGUGUAAUGCAGAAUACAUAUGUAUCCAGUUCAGGGCCGGCUUUAAGCAAUUGGGGGUCUUAGGCGAAAUUUUAUUUUGGGCCUUCUAAUGUUAAAAUAUCUACUCUCACAAUAACAUUAAAUAGCUCAAAAAACUCUCACAACAACAUCAAAUAGCUCAAAAUUCAACUAUAUUUAAUAAUAUCUUGAAUUACAACAAUUAUUAACAAGAUCCAAAAAAAAAAAAAAUUGUCGGAAAGAUAUCUAUUUAUUUCCACACGAAUAUUAAUUAAUUUUGUCUUCCACAAAUUCCAUCUUCUUAAGAUACUCUAAAACUUCAUCAGCCACAACCAUAAUCUUCCUGUGAACUUUAAAUCAUUGCUCCUACGUGCUAUGAUCUUGAUGCAUAUUUUUUAGUUGACAUGCUUUUCAAAUAAAUAAAAAACAAAUAAACAAACACAACUUUUUUUUGUAGAUUAUUCAAGCCAAAAUCAAUACAAAAAAUAAAAAAUUAAUUAAUUUUAAAAAGGAUAAGAACAAUAAUAAUAAAAAAUAGAAAAAAAAUAGAAUGAUAGAACCUGGAUUUGAGUCAAUUGACAAGUUGAGAUGAAGAUGAUGAUGGCAAUGAAUUUUGUAGAGAAAGAGGAGAGAGCACAAAAACUUUUUGCUGAAAGUAGCUUUGAUUUAAUGUGUAUAUGUUUAUAGAUAAUGAGUUUUUAAAUAUAUUUUAAUAGAAUACUAAAAGUUAGCUUUAAAAAUUUAACGUUACUAAUUUUAAUAAGAGUUUUUUUUAAAGGGAAAGCAUUGAUUUUUUUUUGGGAAAUAGUAAAAGAAAAUAAAGAAGUAACGUUCAAAAUAAUUAUUAUACCAUAAAAAUAUAUCUUAUAUUUAAGGUAAAGAUUAUCAAAUAAAAGAUAUAAUUAUAAAUGAGAGUAAUGAUAGGGUAAAGCCUAAAAAUUAGGUUUUUUUUAUUGUACAAAAAAUAUAUACGUAGCUUAAUUUUUUUAAUAUUAAAAAUAUAUUUAUUAUAUUAAUUAAUAAAUAGAUACCCAAAAAUUAGACCUUCCUAAAUACAAGAUCCUAAGUAACUGCUUAGUUCGCUUAGCACUAAAGCCACCACUGAUCCAAUUCAUUGCUAAUAAUCUUAAAACUUUCUCCCAUCAAAGAGUCCGAUUAAAUGGGACAAAAUAUAAUUGUAGAACUUUGGACUGGACAAAUUUUCCAUGACUAGCUUUUGCUUUUGGCUGUUUGCAUGAGAAGGAUGCUCCUUUAACUUGCACGUUUUCCAUGUUAAAUGCCCUUCUAUAACAUUAAUCACUAAAGCUUGGUUGAUGUCCAUCAGAUGUUAUGUGUCAGAUUUGCGAACAUUCUGGUGGUGAGCUUUAAUCUUUUCUGUGAACGGUUAGCCUGCUGCACAAAAUUGGAUCAUUAUACAAAAGUUCCACAUAAUGUGCCCUAGUAAUUGAAGUUUGAUAAAGUUUAAGAAUAUAAUAAUGGCAUUUCUCGACAUCCAAGAAAGCAUCCCAAUGGUCAUUAUGUGUCAUUAUAAAUGGGAUCAACCAAAUUAAAAUUGCCUUGUCCUGUUGCUAUCAGUUAGCAACGAGAAUUGAGAUUUUACCGGCUCAUCCAGCUAAAUUUUGUCAGUCCUUAGCUCCUCAUUUACCAAAUUUGACAUGUAUUGAUUGCAUUUGUUUGUGGAUCUCUUGAAAUAAUAUUUUGGUUUUUGAUGUUUCUUCCUGACAUAUUAAAAAUAUUGGAAUUUUAGAGUUUCUCUAGUAUCUGAGCUUAUGGAUUAGAAAAGCAUCAGUAUUCAACAUUAGUUGUGGAACAAUUUAAGGGCAGAAUGAUAAAGCUUAACUUUAAGCUACCUAAUCUUAACACCCGAUUUCUACUGUGUACUUCUUGUCAAUUUUUUCCUAAUCUGGUUUUUGUUAUUGAUUGUUACUCUUUUUUAUCCUUUUGCAGAUACCAAAAGCUACAGGCAGGUCAUCCAAAUGAAGAUGGCAUGUUGGGAUCACCUGACGCAAAUGCUUCUGCAAAAUAUGUUAUUCUAGAGGAGAUUGAUGAUCUAGAUGAGGGCACUUGAAAUUUCUAGUAACUACAUGAUUUGAAUUUUCAUAAUCUUGUGUAAGCCUAUUGCUGAACCUUCUCCACUAAAAACAUUGGACAUGUAUACAGUUUGGGGUGGAACCUUAGGUUGAUGCAAUGGUUUGAUUUGGUAUUUAUCACAGUGUUCCAAGUUUGUGUAAUGAUAUCCAUUGAUGUACAUUUGAUUAUCAGGUUAUCAGCCAAAGAAAUUCAUGGCGUCAGUAGUGACCGGUCCCAAGUUUGCAGUAUUUAGCAAAUCUUUUUGUUGGCUGAGCUUCGGCCUUAUUUUUCCUGCUCCUCAAGCAGGUCAGUGGCAGAAACGUAUAGGGUGGGUACACCAUCAGGGGUUUAGCAAGUACAUUUUGGCAAGCGAAAUUGAGUGAAGCCCAUUCAUGUGGAAAGUUCACCUCAAGCUUUUUACUAGUGGGUCCUGUGUAGGAUACAUAUUUCUUAAAUGCAUACUCUACGGUCAUUUUGUCGGUCGUUGAUUUGUUGUUUAGUUUAGACAUUGAGAAUGCAAGUAGCGAAGCAAGCUG
rnacentral:lncRNA from 1 species